GCUGAAAUACUUUCCUAUCACUCUUGAAUCUAAUAUCUUCAAGGCUUCCUCAGAUUUAAUGCAACUAGGUUUUUUGUAUUGGCUCAAUGAAGUUCCCUUGGACACAUAGUAAUCCAUUAGUGCCUCAAAACAUCCUUGCUUUACCACCCUAAUCUCCAAAGCUGCAAUUAUGUUCCUUUUCCUAUAGAUUUUAUAUGUAUAAUGCAAUGACUCUUCCAUUGAUACGAGCCAAGGAGGUGACACUCAAGGGGUUGUUUUUCCUAGUGGUCCAAUUACUCGAAGCAAGGCACGACAAUUAAAAUUAAAGAUGAAUGCUUUUGUCCAAGACUUUGUUGCUACAAAUUUAAUUCAUCAUGUUCGUGACAUUGACAAAUACGAGAAUGCAAUUCACUGGACCAAUCUUGGAAUAGUGAAAGCCCAUAAAUUGGUGGAUUAAUCUUUUAUGUAUAUUAUUAUUAUUAUUAUUAUUAUUUACUUAAUUCUCAUUGGUUGGGACACAUCAUUUAUGAGUUAAGUAAUUUUAUUGGUUAAGUUAUUAUUUAUUUAUUUUCUUAGAUAAUUUUAAAGAGUUUUAUUAGGAUUCAAUUACUCUUUAAAGAGUUUUUAUUAUGAUUCAAUUACUCUUGUAAUUUGCCUAUAAAUAGGCUUGUUUUCUACACAUUGAAAGAAGAAUAAAAAGAAGAGUAUUUGUUUUCUUACAAAUUUGUGUGAGGCAAAUUUUUUUAGAGUAGAGUGAUUCUUCUCUUGCUAUUUAGUUUGGAGUUUGUUACUUUCAAGGGUAUUUCGGAGUUGCAAAUAUUCAAAUUUCUUUCCCGUUCAUCGGUGUUUCUAGAGGUUCUUUUUCUAGGGGUUUCGUAGGGAGCCGCUCAAUCAUUGGCGUUUUUGGUUACAAGUUAACCAAGGGUUCCAUAGUGCAAAUCUAUCCUUUUUUAUUUAUUUAUUUAUUUAUUAUUUAACUAAUUUUAUUCUCGUUUUAUUUCUAAUUUGUGUUUCUCUUGUGUCUAGAUCCGGGAUUCCGCAUCAAUUGAUAUCAAUUUCAGGCCAUUCGGUGUUAUUUUCGAAGCUAAAAUCAAAUCCGAAACGAGUCAAAAUACCAAAAACACUUUUCAUCGGUUUCGUCGAUUUUUUUUAAAAAAAGUUUGUGUUUAUUCUCCUCUUAUUCUUUAAAUAAAAGCAAAAAAACAGCAAAAAUAGCAAAAAAAACAAAAAAAGCAAAAAAGCGCAAAAAAAGAGUAAAAAGCACAAAAAAAAAACCAAAAAAAAAAAGCAAAAAAAAGCGCAAAAAAAGAAAGAGUAAAAAGCGCAAAAAAAAAGCACAAAAAAAAAGUUGCCUACCUUUCAUACGUAGGUUUCUUCUUUUCCUAUUAUUGUUAUUAUUUUUAUUUUAUUUUUUCCCAAAAUUGAAUUUUUUUCCCUUUCUUUCUUGACUCAAAUAUAAUUAAAGCUUCAAUUUUUGAAAAUCUUAACACACCAAACGUUUCCGAUUUUUUUGUUUUCCUUUAAAUUGGGUAGAGUUUUCUUAAGUUUUCUUCUUAUUAAAGGUUUUCUUUGACUCUAGAGUUAGGGAUCGUUGCAGGUCUACGUUUUUUUGUUUCUCUUACGUUUUCUAACACUUUGUUUCUUCUUGUGUUAGCAGAUAUUAAAGGCACGCACAAUUCCUUCAUCCGUGUAGCCUCCAUUACAAAUUGCUUCGUCAAGUUUAUUGGCCUCUUAAAGCAAUUAGGAUCUUCAUUGUUUCUUUGAAGUUUGCACCUCCAUUAUUUGAUCUUGAUUAGUAACCCUCUCCAAACAUAUUUACAAGUUUUGAAUCAUUCAGAGAGUUAUUCUUUUAAGAGCUAACGAGUGAGGUUAUUAUUAUUAUUUUCUUGUUCCUGUUUGUGUGAUUUUUUCACAGAUACCAUGCCGAUCACUAGAUCCCAAACUAGUAAAAAUGAAAAGGAUGAGCAAAAAAGAGAGAACGAUCCUUUGGUUGAGUUAUUACAAAAAGAGAUGAAAAAGUUGCAAACUCAACUCGAGCAUCGCAUGACCCAAAUGUUACAAGAGCAAAGGGAGUAUCUUGAUAUAAAACUUACAACUCAAAAUGAGAUGUCUCCUUUGGAAGAUGCUGAUGAUGUGCAUGAUCAUGAUGAGUAUGAAGAGUACAUGAAGUAUGGUGAGAAAGCACUUGUUGCUCGAAGGGCUUUAAAUGUCCAGUUUAAAGAGGAAGGGCGCGAACAAAGAGAUAACAUUUUCCACACGAGAUGUUUGAUUGGUGGACAACCUAGUUCAUUGAUCAUCGAUAGUGGAAGUUGCACCAAUGUAGUGAGUUCUUCCCUUGUUGAGAAACUUGGCCUACCUUGUGUGAAGCAUCCAAUGCCAUACUGCUUACAAUGGCUGAAUGAUAGUGGGGAGGUAAAAGUAUCUAAACAAUGCUUAGUUUCAUUUUCUAUUGGUAGAUACUCUGAUAAAGUUUUGUGUGAUGUUGUUCCAAUGCAAGCUGGGCACAUAUUACUUAGACGGCCAUGGCAGUUUGAUCGACGAGUAAAUCAUGAUGGUUUCCUUAACCAAUAUACUUUUGUGUUCCUUGGAAAGAAGUUUACUUUGGCUCCACUUCCUCCUCAAGAAGUCUACAAUGAUCAACUCAAACUUGCUAGUGAGAUGGGUAAGGGAAGUGAGGUAAAAUCAUUGAAAAAGGCUGAGAGUAAAGAGGCUCUUAGUGUUAAAAUCCAACUUAAAGGCCCAACAUUGGUGAGUGAUUGCACACACAAGUCACGAGAUGAGAAAGUGAGUUUAUUCGCUAGGUUUCGAGAUAUCAAAUUUACUCUUUGUACAAAACAAACAUUUGUAAUUAUUAGGUUUAGGGAAAACUUUAUUUUGACUAACCCUAAUACACAUUUGCCUAGUUGUUUUGUUAAUCUUUUGCAGGAUUUUGAGGAUGUAUUUCCUUCUGAAAUGCCUAAGGGAUUACCUCCUUUACGAGGGAUUGAACAUCAAAUUGACUUUGUGCCUGGUUCGAGUAUUCCGAAUAGACCAGUCUAUCGAAGCAAUCCUGAAAAAACUAAGGAGUUGCAAAGGCAAGUUGAAGAUCUCUUAGAGAAAGGGUUAAUUCGUGAGAGUCUAAGCCCUUGUGCGGUCCCUGUACUUCUCGUCCCAAAAAAAGAUGGUUCUUGGAGAAUGUGUGUUGAUUGUCGUGCUGUCAACAAGAUUACGGUAAAGUAUCGAUAUCCAAUUCCUCGAUUAGAUGAUAUGUUGGAUGAGCUUAAUGGUGCAUGCAUUUUCUCUAAAAUUGACUUAAAAAGUGGUUACCAUCAAAUAAUAAUGAAACAAUGUGAUGAAUGGAAAACUGCUUUUAAGACUAAGUAUGGCCUAUAUGAGUGGUUAGUUAUGCCAUUUGGCUUAACUAAUGCUCCUAGCACAUUCAUGAGAUUAAUGAACCACAUACUUAGACCUUUUUUAGGAAAAUUUGUCGUUGUGUAUUUUGAUGACAUACUGAUUUAUAGCAAAACUUUGAAUGAUCAUGUUGGGCAUGUUAAAUUAGUAUUGGAUGUGUUAAGGCAUGAACGACUCUUUGCUAAUCUUGAAAAAUGCACCUUUUGUAUGGAUAAGCUUGUUUUUUUGGGUUUUGUGAUAAGUUCUACAGGAAUCCAUGUGGAUGAGGAGAAGGUAAAGGCAAUUCAAGAAUGGCCUAUCCCUAAAACUGUUUCUGAGGUAAGGUCUUUCCUUGGGUUAGCCGGUUUCUACCGCAGGUUUGUUCGUAACUUUUCCACAAUUGCUUCACCUUUGACUACACUUAUUAAAAAGGAUGUAUCUUUUCAUUGGACAGAUAAGCAAGAAUUAGCAUUUAAUGAACUUAAAGAUAAAUUCUGUAAUGCUCCUAUUCUUGUUUUACCUAAUUUUGAAAAGACCUUUGAGAUUGAAUGUGAUGCUUCUGGUGUAGGUAUAGGUGCCGUCCUCAUGCAAGAUAGUAAACCACUAGCCUACUUUAGUGAGAAACUCGGUGGAGCACAUUUGAACUAUUCGACCUAUGAUAAAGAGUUGUAUGCCCUGGUAAGGGCAUUAGAAGUUUGGCAACAUUACCUUUUACCAAAGGAGUUUGUGAUUCACACUGACCAUGAAUCACUUAAGCACUUAAAGGGACAAGGUAAGUUGAACAAGCGACAUGCGAGGUGGGUUGAAUUUAUUGAAUUUUUUCCUUAUGUUAUAAGGUAUAAGAAAGGUAAAGAUAAUAUUGUGGCUGAUGCUCUAUUAAGGAGGUACACUUUACUUAGUACUUUGCAUACUAAGUUAUUAGGUUUUGAGUAUCUUAAAGAUUUAUAUGCCACUGAUUCUGAUUUUGCAAGCAUUUAUGACGCAUGUGAACAUGGUGCAUUUCAUAAAUUUUAUAAGCAUGAUGGCCAUCUUUUUCGAAAUAAUAGACUAUGCUUACCAAAGUGUUCAAUGUGAGAAUUGUUGGUUCGAGAGGCUCAUAGUGGUGGUCUUAUGGGUCAUUUUGGAGUCACUAAGACUCAUGAUGUUUUAUAUGAGCAUUUUUAUUGGCCUAACAUGUGAAAACUUGUUGAGAAAAUUUGCUCUACUUGCAUUACUUGUAAACAAGCUAAAUCCACUGUGAUGCCUCAUGGUCUAUAUAUUCCUCUUCCUGUUCCUAGUUCACCUUGGACUGACAUUUCAAUGGAUUUUAUAAUAGGUUUACCAAGGACAAAGCGUGGACGAGAUAGCAUCUUUGUGGUUGUGGAUCGAUUUUCUAAAAUGGCUCAUUUCAUUCCAUGCCAUAAGACUGAUGAUGCAACCCAUGUUGCCGAUCUAUUUUUCCGUGAAGUUGAGAGAUUACAUGGAAUCCCAAGGACUAUCGUUUCCGAUAGAGAUGCAAAAUUUCUUAGUCACUUUUGGAAGGUGUUAUGGGGUAAAUUAGGUACUAAAUUACUUUACUCUACUACAUGCCACCCUCAAACUGAUGGUCAAACCGAGGUGGUAAAUCGAGUUUUGGGAUCUUUGCUUAGAGCCAUAAUAGGUAAGAAUGUUAAAUCUUGGGAAGAAUGGAUACCCUAUGUUGAGUUUGCUUAUAAUCGUUCUGUUCAUUCUUCCACAAGUUUUACUCCUUUUGAGAUUGUAUAUGGCUUUAAUCCACUUACUGUUUUAGAUUUGCUUCCUUUACCUUUGAAUGAGAUUGCUAAUUUAGAUGGUGAAAGGAAAGCUGAUUUAGUGAAAGAGAUCCAUGAGAAGGCUCGUAAAGCCAUUGAGAAAAAGAAUGAGUCCAAUGCACAUCGAGUUAAUAAAGGGCGAAAGCAAGUCUUGUUUGAACCUGGAGAUUGGGUAUGGGUGCAUAUGAGGAAGGAACGAUUUCCUUCUAAGAGAAAUAAUAAACUUGAAGCACGAGGAGAUGGACCAUUCCAAGUACUCGAGAAAAUAAAUGACAAUGCUUAUCGCAUUGAUCUUCCUGGUGAGUAUAGUGUUAGUGCUACUUUCAAUGUUUCUGAUCUUUCUCCUUUUGAAUUUGAUGUAGGUUCAGAUUCGAGGACAAAUCUUCUUGAAGAGGGGGAGAAUGAUACGAGCCAAGGAGGUGACACUCAAGGGGUUGUUUUUCCUAGUGGUCCAAUUACUCGAAGCAAGGCACGACAAUUAAAAUUAAAGAUGAAUGCUUUUGUCCAAGACUUUGUUGCUACAAAUUUAAUUCAUCAUGUUCGUGACAUUGACAAAUACGAGAAUGCAAUUCACUGGACCAAUCUUGGAAUAGUGAAAGCCCAUAAAUUGGUGGAUUGAUCUUUUAUGUAUAUUAUUAUUAUUUACUUAAUUCUCAUUGGUUGGAACACAUCAUUUAUGAGUUAAGUAAUUUUAUUGGUUAGGUUAUUAUUUAUUUAUUUUCUUAGAUAAUUUUAAAGAGUUUUAUUAGAAUUCAAUUACUCUUUAAAGAGUUUUUAUUAGGAUUCAAUUACUCUUGUAAUUUGCCUAUAAAUAGGCUUGUUUUCUACACAUUGAAAGAAGAAUAAAAAGAAGAGUAUUUGUUUUCUUUCAAAUUUGUGUGAGGCAAAUUUUUUUAGAGUAGAGUGAUUCUUCUCUUGCUAUUUAGUUUGGAGUUUGUUACUUUCGAGGGUAUUUUGGAGUUGCAAAUAUUCAAAUUUCUUUCCCGUUCAUCGGUGUUUCUAGAGGUUCUUUUUCUAAGGGUUUCGUAGGGAGCCGCUCAAUCAUUGGCGUUUUUGGUUACAAGUUAACCAAGGGUUCCAUAGGGCAAAUCUAUCCUUUUUAUUUAUUUAUUUAUUUAUUAUUUAACUAAUUUUAUUCUCGUUUUAUUUCUAAUUUGUGUUUCUCUUGUGUCUAGAUCCGGGAUUUCGCAUCAUCCAUUCUAGAGGAACACUCUACCAUUAUCUUUGGGUCAAGUUCUUUGCAAUGCUUGCCUUCUUUUCCCUUGAUCUCCCAAAAUAAGACAUAGUGACCUGGUGCUGAAGAAGUAUCAACGUAGCUAGUGUACUCUGUCAAGAUGAAUCCCAGUGGAUCGAGAAGAGCCUUUGCUUCUGUCACAGCCUUGAAAAGGUCUGUUUCGCUUGUUUUUUCCUGAUCAACACUUAGAAUAACAUUUUUCCUCUCCACAAAUUGGAAUUGAGGUGCAUUAUUGUAGAAACCACUCACCAUAAGAACAUCUCCAACUUUAUAUCGAUAUAAUCCUGAAAGAAACAAAGAAAGGAAUAUCAUCAAACUAGAUUAGAUCAUUAUCUAACAGGUUAAUGUAGGAACUAGGAAGCAUAAUGCAGAUUAGAACAUGGCAUUUGAUUAAUUGAUUAUAUUCAAAAUAGGAACUUUUACCUGCACAAGUUGUGACAACUAGUUCAUAACACUGACCAGCCUUCACAUUUACAAGAUCAACAAGUUCAGUAUCUUCAUUGUUGCUCUUCAUUUCAAUAGAUCCAUCACCUUCAUUCUUUACUGGAAGGAAUUCGAAGUAAGCCAUGUUAGGGAGAAAUGUGUAGGAGACAUCACAAGGUUUGUGUAGAGGUUCUAAGUUAAUCCCACAAAUAGCUUCCGAGCAAGCAUAUAAAUCUGAAACUAAAGGGAGCCCUCUGGAAUAGAACUCGAGUUCUGUAGUAUACUGUCUCAUAAUGCCAGUACAAAUACAACCAAUAUACCUUGCUUUAGGCCAUAACUUUCUGAUUAUUCCUUCCCAUGAUUUACAAUUACAUAUAGUUUCUAUCAAGUCAGCCUGUUCUGGAUUAGGCUUCAUGACCAAUGAUGCUGCAUUUCUGCAUCCUGAGUCGGUGAUCCAAUCGGUUAAUUGACCUGUUUUUAUGUCAUAGCAUAGCUCUUGCCAGUGAUUUUCUACAAACUUGAUACCUCUUAACACUGUAGAUGCAAAGACUGAACCAACCUUGACAACCUCGUCUCGUUGGAUUAAACCAAAAAGUAAUUGACAGUAUAAGCCCUGGUUGGGGUCUGGGCAAAAGAUGGUCUCAAUGGGGCUUGUGUAAAGCUUAGACAAAAUGGUUCUAAAAUUACACUCGUUGUAUAUGCUCGUUGAAACAGAUGCUGCCUUGAGGCCACUAGGAGUUUCAAUCUCUGGUCUGCCAAACAUAAGCUCCAGUCUUUUACCGGCUUGGUUGAUGUCACCAAAGUGCCUUUAAAAUUUGACGGAUAAAGGCAAAUAGUUAGUUUUAGGACUAAGUUGCCGUUGUAAAUGCAAAAAGCAAGAAAAGCAACUAUGUAUAUUAUAUCUAUAUAUGUACAAGUAGUAUUUACUAAAUACGGGUGUUACAAUCUGCAUGGUAUAUUAUACAUAUGUAUUUGCUUAAUAUGGUAACUUAUAUACAUGUAUUCACAAGCAGCUGAAAGAAAAACUAGAAGAAAAUAGGGAUGGGUUCCUUACUUUAUCGCAGGAGACUCGUACAAGCCACGAAAUAAUUCCCACUUAUUAGCAACUUCAGCAGUGACAGGCAUCAGCUUUGGCUGCCCGCCUGAAGUCCUAGAGCUGCAUUUGAUCAAACAGAUGAUAGAACUAUUAGAAGGAAUCAAACAGUACCCCAAAACACACAGAAGCAAAGCAACAAAUUCAUGCAUGCCUUAGAAAGAACCCUGUAAUGGGUUCAGCUAAAAGGAUAUCUGAUGUCUCCCCAUUAGCAAUCCUAUCUAUGUAAGGCUUGAGAUCUUCAUAAGUAACUAUGGGAACAUUUUUCUUAAAGAGCUGCUUCUCGGUUUGACCAUGGAGGUAUCCCCUUAAAUACUCUGUUCCUGCAUUUCGACUUAGUAUUUCCCCCAAUACCUCGUCUUGAAUUUGCUCAGCAUUUGUGGUCAGUUCCUCAAUCAUCUUCAACCUACCUUCACACCCAUUCGUUGCCAUCAGCCCUAUUACUGAGAUCCAGACAGCUUUUUCUGUUUUCAUUUUUCUUUUUUGGGGAUGUUCUAGCUAUAGGCAAUGGAAACUCUACCUACGCUAAAUAUAAUAAGAUUCAUGGGACUUGACCCACACAUGUCGGCACGCAUUAUAAACAAUGUGGCAUCAAUGAAAUGAUUAAAACGUGAAUUAGUAAUAUAUUAAAACUAAGCAUGGAUAUAAAAUAAUUAUAAGAAAGUUGUAUUUAAUGGAGUUGAGUACCGAUUUAUGCCUCUUCCAAUCUUCAAAAGCCAAUGUAAAAACUAAUUUUACGCCGAAAAUGGUUUAGUUGAUAUGAUUUAUAUAAUUUUUUGUCAUCUAUUAUAUCUUACUUUGUUUAAGGCUUUGUUUGUAUACCUGUAAAAUAAGUUAAGGAAAAUAUUUUCAUCUUUUUUCACUGUUUGUUUGAUAGAAAAUGAAUUCUCACCGUAAAACCUUCUCAAAAACAUGAGAAAAGAAGGCUUUAUUUUAGGAAAAUAUCUUUAACAUUUUCCAAAGUUUUUUUCUGAAGCAGUAAACUAAUCCAAAGCCUCUUUCCAUUUCCCCAUUCCUUCCCACUCUGGUCUAGAGCUUACAGUCAGCCAGCAACGGUUCCCAACACCAGUCGCCGGCAUUCACCUUUGAUUUCCUUCUUUUCGCCUUUCGUUGUCGAAAUUUGCACUGCACUAAUCAACGAUGGUGUUCAUCUUCCUCUCUCGAAGGUAAGAAUGAAAAAAAGGAAGAAAUAUGUGGUUGUUUUUUAGUAGCAACAUGUUGUUUUGGCCCAAUUUGAUUGCUGGUUAAUCCCUCUUUUUUAUUUUUUUUAUGGUUUUUGUUAUUUUUACGUUUCAUCUUCCUUGAACGGUGCAAGCUGGAUUCUUGUUGGUGGUAAUGGAAUAAUUAAGAUAUGGUAAUGAUGGUGGUGGCUGAGGCACAACUAAUGAGCAAAAACUCAAAGUCUUUAAGUUCACACAUUAUUUGUUCAAAUGGGAUUAGUGGGCAUUGUUGUUCCAAUAGGGUCGGAAGCGUGUAAAUUAUUGUACUAAAAAAUCACACAAAGUUCAAUUCCCAGGGAAGAGAGGUGGAUCACAUAGAUCUCUUAAAUACCAAGUCUUUCCUUAGACAGAAUAUCCCUUCUAUAGUAAUUUAAUAGCACAAUUAAAUACUACUAUUAUACCCUCAAAUAUUGAAAGAAAAAUAGGACAAGAAAGAACACAAGAGAUUUAACGAGGUUCGGUAAAUUAUACCUACGUCCUCGGGCACUAACACCAGAUGAUAACUUUACUAUCUCCAAAGUAUUACAAACAAAUAGAAUUCCUUAAGAAUUCUCAAAUGGGAGAAGAGAGAAAACUAAGAGAGAAAGAUUGGUUGGGAUGAAUUGAAAUGAGAAAUGAGAAGGCCUAUUUAUAGUUGAGGUUUAAGGACCAAACAAUAAAUAGCCCAUUAUCUCAAGGACCAAAAAAAAAUUAUCCCAUGCCACUUUUUCAAAGUCAACUUUAGGGUGCUAAACUUGCACCACUUUGUAUUGUUUGCCAUUAAUGUUGUCUCCCAUUAAUGUUAACAAUCUCCACCUUGAAGAUUUGAUUAGGAUAAUCACAUCUUCACACACUUCCUUCAACUCCCCAAAUUCGAUAAAGCUAUCUUUUGUAGUGCCUACAAAUGCACUCUCGAGCGCCAUACACCUGAAGGUGCUCAAAUUCUCAGGAUGUUAAUCAAGUUCAAACAAUGAUUAAACUUGAUUGUUGUUACCACCUUGGUCAUCAUAUCUGCUGUCGGAAUCUUCUGAAGUAGAAUUUUUCCUUUUUCAAAGACUUCCCGCACAAAGUGAUAUCUUACGUCGAUAUGCUUGGUUCUUGAAUGAUAGACUUGAUUUUUCGCUAAAUGAAUAGCGCUCUGACUGUCACAAUAUAAACUUAUGUGACUUUGAACAACUCCUAAGUCUUUCAACAAUCCAUUAAGCCAAAUAGCCUCCUUAACAGCUUCUGUAACUGCCAUAUAUUCUGCCUCUGUAGUAGACACAGCUACUAUAGACUGUAAGGUAGACUUCAAACUCACUGGGGCUUUCGCAAGAGUAAACAGAUACCCCGUAGUUGAACGACGUUUAUCUAAAUCACCAUCAAAGUUGGAAUCAACAUAUCCAACUACAAACUGACCAAGUGCUUCAUCCUGUUCAAAAAUUAAACCAACAUCUACGGUUUUUCGAAGAUACCGUAGAAUCCAUUUCACAGCUUGCCAAUGUCCUUUUCCAAGAUCAUGCAUAUACCUGCUCACAACUCCAACAGCUUGUGAAAUGUCAGGCCUCGUACACACUAUCGCAUACAUCAAACUCCCAACUGCAUUAGCAUAUGGGACUUUCGCCAUAUAUUCUCUUUCAUCUUCAGUCUUCGGAGAUAAUUGAGCACUAAGUUUCAAAUGAGAAGCAAGUGGGGUACUUACAUGUUUUGUGUUUUCAUUUACACCAAAACAUUGUAAUACCUUUUUCAGAUAUUGUUUCUGAUUUAAACAGAGCUUGCCUCUCGGUCUAUCUCUACUUAUCUCCAUGCCGAGAAUCUUCUUGGCCUCACCUAGAUCUUUCAUCUCGAACUCUUGAUUCAACUGAGCCUUCAGCUUAUCUAUCUCAUUUUGGCUCUUCGAAGCGAUUAACAUAUCAUCAACAUACAAGAGUAGAUAAAUGAAAGAUCCGUCAUGCAGCUUCUGCAAAUAUACACAAUUGUCAUAUUUGCUUCUUGUGUACUUCUGCCUUCUUAUAAAGCUAUCAAAUCGCUUGUACCACUGCCUCGGGGAUUGCUUCAAUCCAUAUAGCGAUUUGUUCAACUUACAAACCCAAUUUCUACCACCAGCAUCUGUGUAUCCUUCGGGCUGAGUCAUAGAGAUCUCCUCUUCUAACUCACCAUGCAAGAAAGCUGUCUUAACAUCAAGUUGAGCUAGCUCCAAAUUCAACUGUGCUACCAAGGCUAACAAAAUUCUAAUGGAGGAAUGCUUCACAACAGGGGAAAAUACAUCAUUGUAGUCAAUUCCCUCCUUCUGAGCGUAGCCUUUAGCUACCAAUCUUGCCUUGUAGCGAAUAUCCUUCUUGCUAGGAGAUCCAUCUUUCUUUGCGAAUACCCACUUGCAUCCGAUUGCCCUUUUACCUUUCGGUAAUUGCGCCAACUCCCAAGUAUUGUUCUUCCGGAGAGACUGCAUUUCUUCAUCCAUGGCGCUUUUCCAUUUAUCACUUUCUAAGCUUUGCAUUGCUUCUUGAUAAGUGAUAGGAAUAUCAUCAACAACGGGAAGGGCGUAGGCCACCAUAUCAGUAAAUCGAGCAGGUUUACGAAUUUCUCUCUGUGGCCUUGCAACUGCAACUGGUUCUGGUGUACUUAGUGGUUCUUGGGUCAGAACCUUUUCAACCUCUAAUUCCUCCAUAGUGGCUGGAGAAUUAGACUUAUUAACUGGGCAAAUCCCCAUCUGCUCAAACUCCACCUGUUUUGGAGUACACUCCACCUGCUGUGGAGUAUUGCUCAUCUGAAUAUCUUUAUCUGCUACCUUUUUCAAUGUGGCAGAUUCAUCAAAGGUAACAUCUCUGCUACAGAUCAUUUUCUUUGUGCUUAAGCACCAAAGUCGAAAUCCCUUUACUCCAGAAGUGAUUCCCAUAAAGAGAGCUUUCUUUGCCCUUGGAUCUAACUUUGACUCAUUCACAUGGUAAUAUGCAGUGGUUCCAAACACAUGUAAGGAAUCAUAAUCUGUAGCCGGUUUUCCAAACCAUACCUCCAUAGGAGUUUUUCUUUCUAAUGCAGAUGAUGGCAAACGAUCAACAAGAUGGCCAGCGUAUGUCACAGCCUCAGCCCAAAAUUGCUUGCCCAACCCAGCAUUGGACAACAUACAUCGAACUUUCUCCAGCAAUGUUCGAUUCAUACGCUCUGCCAAUCCAUUCUGCUGUGGUGUAUCCCUAACUGUGAAGUGUCGAACAAUACCAUACUCUUGGCACACAUCGAAGAACGGAUCACUUUUAUAUUCCCCUCCAUUGUCCAACCUAAGCCGCUUGAUUUUCUUGCCAGUCUGGUUUUCGAUCAUAGUUUUCCAUUUAAGAAAAACUCUAAGCACUUCAUCCUUAGUUCUCAUGGUAUACACCCAAACUCUUCUGGAAAAGUCAUCAAUAAAAGUAACAAAGUAGUGUUUUUCUCCCAAUAAAGGUGUCUUGGAAGGCCCCUACACAUCUGAGUGAACAUAUUCCAAAAUACCUUUUGUAUUAUGGAUAGCAGUACCGAAUUUCACUCUCUUUUGCUUUCCCAGAACACAAUGCUUGCAAAAUUUUAAUUUGCAAGCCUUUGCACCUUUCAACAAUCCUUGCUUUGCCAGAAUUUGCAAGGAUUUUUCGCUGGCAUGUCCCAACUUCAUAUGCCACAACUGUAUUGAGUCCAAUUCUUUGUUGCCGGAAGCUGUAGCGACUGCUCCAAUAACUGUACUACCUUGGUAGUAAUACAAGUUAUUUUUCCUGUUGCCCUUCAAUAUCACAAGUGCGCCAGAUGUCACUUUCAAAAUCCCAUCUCUCAUAGUAACAACUGAACCAUUGGAUUCCAAGGCUCCCAAUGAGAUGAGAUUUUUCUUCAAACUGGGCACGUACCGAACAUCAGUCAGAACUCUGGUUGAUCCAUCUUGAUUCUUUAAUUGGAUUGAACCUAUCCCAACAGUUUUACAGGCAUUGUCAUUGCCCAUAUAAACAACUCCUCCAUUUAGUUCUACUAAAUCAGAGAACCACUCCCGGUUAGGGGACAUAUGAAAGGUACAACCCGAAUCCAAUAUCCACUCAUCUGAAUGGAACGACGAUAAUGAUGCAACCAGUGAUAGUUCAGAGUCACUAGUAUCAUGCUUUGCAACACAAGCAUCUACAGUAGCUUUUCCCUUAUUCUUCAGUUUUGGACAAUUUUUCUUCCAGUGGCCUUUCUCAUGACAAAAGGCACAUUCAUCUUUCCCGAGUCUAGACUUUGACUUUGAUCUCCCCUUUUGAGUUUUCUUCCGAGUGUAUGAACGACCUCGAACUACUAAAGCUUCUGUAUCUCUGAUUGAGUUUUUCUGUUUGUCAUUCUUUCUCUGUUCAUAACUGUAUAAGGCCGCACAGACUUCGCUCAGAGAUAUAUCACUCCUGCCAUGAAGUAGAGUAGUUUCUAGGAACUCAAACUCCACAUGAAGUGACCCCAACAGCAUCAAAGCCAAAUCUUCAUCUUUGAAUGUCUCAUCCAUAUUCAGCAAAUCAGUGACUAACUGAUUAAAUUUGGUGAUGUGAUCAUUCAUUGUGGUACUUGGGACGUAUGUAAAGCGAAACAGUCUUUUCUUCAAGUGGAGCUUAUUUUGACUGUUUUUCUUCAAAAAAUUUUCUUCAAGUGCCACCCACAACUUAUUUGCAGAAGUCUCAUUUGAAAAAGCAUACCUCUGCUCUCGAGAAAGGCAUGAUCGAAUUGUGCCACAUGCCAACCGAUUGAUCGCCUUCCAAUCUUUCUCCUGUACAUCAUCUGGUUUCUCUUCAUCAAUGGCAAUGUCUAGACCCUGCUGAAAAAGGGCAUCUAGAACCUCACUUUGCCACAUACCAAAAUGGCCCGUGCCAUCAAAGAUCUCCACGGCCAAUCUUGCAUUUGCAAUUGUCGGUCUUGUCCACAUGGACGAUGUUGAAGCUCCUACACCGACCGUUUUCUCCAUAAUCUUUCAAUAUACCUAAGGAAAUCUUUUCUGAUGUGGAAGAUCAGUUUAAACUGCAACCACAGAGCAUACUACGAUUAACCUUCGGCUCUUGAUACCACUUGUUGUUCCAAUAGGGUCGGAAGCGUGUAAAUUAUUGUACUAAAAAAUCACACAAAGUUCAAUUCCCAAGGAAGAGAGGUGGAUCACAUGGAUCUCUUAAAUACCAAGUCUUUCCUUAGACAGAAUAUCCCUUCUAUAGUAAUUUAAUAGCACAAUUAAAUACUACUAUUAUACCCUCAAAUAUUGAAAGAAAAAUAGGACAAGAAAGAACACAAGAGAUUUAACGAGGUUCGGUAAAUUAUACCUACGUCCUCGGGCACUAACACCAGAUGAUAACUUUACUAUCUCCAAAGUAUUACAAACAAAUAGAAUUCCUUAAGAAUUCUCAAAUGGGAGAAGAGAGAAAACUAAGAGAGAAAGAUUGGUUGGGAUGAAUUGAAAUGAGAAAUGAGAAGGCCUAUUUAUAGUUGAGGUUUAAGGACCAAACAAUAAAUAGCCCAUUAUCUCAAGGACCAAAAAAAAAUUAUCCCAUGCCACUUUUUCAAAGUCAACUUUAGGGUGCUAAACUUGCACCACUUUGUAUUGUUUGCCAUUAAUGUUGUCUCCCAUUAAUGUUAACAGGCAUGAUUUUGUUUUCUUCCCUUUCUUUUUUCUUCCAAUAGAAAUCAAUUUUGUUUUCCCCUCUUUCUUGGGGUAAAAAAGAACCUUUUUUUCUUAUAUAAAUAAUUGAUUAGCUCGAAUUUUGACCCAUUAUGGUGCAUCUUCUCUAUUUUCCCUUCUCUAAUAAUUGAUCUAAUGAAUCAAUUGCAUGUUUUUUCUUCUCUUUUUGUCUUUCAUUUCGUUGAAUUAUUGUUAAAUACAAACAAUUAUAAUGGAACAGAAUGUUAAAAAUGCUCUUUUUGAAUGUUUAUUUGGAUGCUUUUAGUUUGCUUGUAAACUUUAAGGUAAUUCAGAUUCGUAAUGCAACAAGAUUUUGGUUAGUAAUUUCCUGAUAAUCUGCUGCAGAAGUUAUGGGUGUUAUUGUUUUGGACAUAAUUUUGUUUUAAGUUAAAAUGAUCUGUGUUGACACCAUUUUUUUGACAAUACGAGAUCGACUUGGAUUUUGAAAAUGAAAAUGAAAAUGAGAGUCGCCACCAAUCCUUUUUGAUGAGGUGUAAUCGGAAGACCUCGAAAAGUGAUUGUUUUUAAUAAACGAUUUGAUUUUAUUAAAACAAUGAUUUUGGUCUACGAAAUUCAGAAAAAUAGGUUUGGGAGUCGGUUACGUACGAAAUUAGUGUCUUAAUGUCGAAGAUUGAAAAUUUUGAAAAGUUUUAAAAAUACAAUCCUUAAAAAAAACUCGAAUAACAUGGGUUAGAAUUUAGGAUUCUCUUGUUCUGAAAGAAUAUCACAUCCAGCACGUCAGGAUACGAUACUUUAAAUCCUCGAAACCAAGAUCACCUUAUGGUUUCCAAAACCAAUACUUUGAAAUUUUAAGAGGAUAUUUGGCUAUUUGGUCAAACGAGAAAUCGAAACUCAGCACGUUACGGCACGUUUUCUCAAAUUUUCAAACGCAAAAUAUUACAUUAUUUAGAAAAUUUUCCCUUUUUGAAUUUGGAUAAAAAUUAUGAAAUAUUUAAAAAUAAUAUAUAUACAAUUUGAAUAUAUUAUUUAAAAAAUUUACUUGAAAUGAAAAGGGGUCAUACAUAACUAAUAGUAAAUAACCAUAACAUGACAUGCAUAAUAGAAUAAUUAUAUAGCCUUGAUACUAACAAACCCUAAUGCAAACAUACAUGAAUAAAAGUAAUGAUACAAAUGGCAACAGCAAUAACAACGACAACCAUAAAAAUAACGAGCCCAAAGUUUGAAAGUAUAUAAAAAAUAGCAAAUAAAUAAAUAAAUAAUGGAAUAACAUGGCACUAAUGAUGGUAAAAAUAAUAUAAACAAGCCAAUCAGAUAAUAAUAAUAAUAAAAUAAAAAACUAAUAUAAGUUAGAUUAAAAGUUAAAGACAAGUAAAUAAAUAAAUAAAUAAAUAAAAUGUUAAAUGGAAUAUUUAAUAAAAUCUUUUUUAUUUAAAAAUAAUAAACAACAAUUGAAAUUAAAUAGGUUAAGGAUUAAACUGAAAUCUGAAUGAAAUUUCGAAGGUUUAAAUUGUAAACAAAUAGAAAAAGGGGUGGUUUGGGACUGAAAUGGGACACGCUCAAAGGAUGAGGGACCAACUAGGCAAUUUUCCAGCCUCGCUGUGCAGCGUUUCAACGCGGGCCAAAAUGAAACAAAUGUAUAAUUUAUGUGGCCAAAAUAAAAAUAAACAAUAGGGACCAGAUUGCACCACGGCGAGAAAGCGGAGGAAUCUAUUGCGCAAAUAUCCCCCUAAUUGAAAACAAGCGAAUCCUCUCUGGUGGGUCGGGUUGUGCGUGGGUCAGAGACCAAAACGACAUUGUUUUGGUCUCUGAACCCAAACUCCAAAACAGUGUCGUUUUCUAAUGCUAUAAAAUCCAAAAAAAAAAUUAAAUCCUUCAUUUUUUCUUUUCUUCUAAAAAAAACAAAACUUUCUCUCAACUCAAACCCUCCCUCAAAAUCCGACCUAGGUUUCCGGCCGUGGCCGCUGCCGUAGCGCCACGUGGCUGGUGGCUGGUGUUGCACAAAAAAAUGUUUCAGCCUCGUUUCACAGUGCACUCCUAGGCCCGGCCCUUUUCAACCCGAGAGGCCAAAAGAAAAAAAACUAUACCCCUUCUUUAAGCCCGAUUCAGACGACGGCGCAAGGAGUUCCGUCAAUGGAACCACUGGGCGAUUUAGGUACGUUCCUAUUUUCUUUUUAUUUUUGUAUAAAAUAUGUAAUGGCCCAAAUUCAAAAUUAUCGGAAUAGUGGUUUCGUAACCACAAAUCCGAUUUAAAGAGAAAUUUAUUUUAAUAUUUUUGCAUGAAUAUUGAUAUGAUAGGAAAAAUCGUAUGAAAAUAUCGAUAGAAAAAUUUUACUGAUUAAGUGGUUAGUUAGAAAAAGGAAUUAUUGAAGGAAUUAGGUAAAAAUAAGAUAUCGAGACUUCGAUCUCGUAAAACCGAGUCAAAAAUAUUUUUAUAAAUAUUUAUAAAGUGUUAGUAAUAUGGUAUUAAAAUUUCGUUAGAAAAUAUUAAUGUUUGGGUAGUCAAUUAAGUGAAAAGGACUAAAUUGAAAAAAAUGUAAAAGUUACUAGAGGGAUUAAAUAGCUCAAUUGUGAAAUGAGGAGGGACAUAAAUUGAAAAUAACCCCAAAAGGAGAUAUUUUGGGCGGCAUACGCUGAGAAAAAUCAGGAGAAUUGAAGAAAUAAGGGUAAAAUUGGAAUAUUACAAAAUUUGCUUUAAAAGUUAGGACUAAAGUGGAAUUAUCUAGAUUUCUCUUUAAUUUUCUGCACUCUCAUCAGCCAAAAACGUCCUAAGGGUUUCUUCAAGCUGGUUUUUCAUAAUUUUUGCACCAAGUGAGUUAAUUCUUUCCUUUUUCUCGUAAUUUUUGCGUUUCUAAGACUUUUACAACUAGGUCCUAUUACUUAAUUCAUUAGUUUUUGAUUUUAUGAAUGAUAUUGAAAGUUGAUAUGAAUAUGUGCUGGAAUUUUAUGAGGAAAUAGGAUGAAAUUGAUGCUUUAAUUUGUUUAUGAGAUGAUUUUAUUAGGUAAUUCCAAUAGAAAUUGAUUUGUAGGACCUAAUUGUGAAAAAGUUUGGAAUUAAAGUUUAGUGCUGAAAUUCUGAUUUCCAAAGGUUAUAAGGUAGUUUAAAGUGAUAUAAUAAAGUGUUGAUUUAGAAAAAUCAGCUCAAUUGAGAGGUUAAUUGAGCAGGGAUGAAAUUAUCAUUGUUGAAAGUUUAGGGGAAAAAUGGUAAUUAACACCAUGCACUAAAACAGUUUUAGACAGCAGCAGUAUUCUAACUUUGAAAAAUCACCAAAAAUUGUAGAGAUCGAAUUAGAGGAUGAAUAAAAUAUGAAAUUAAAGCUUAUUGAGUCUAGUUUCUUAUAAAAGAAAAGUUGUAAGCAAUGAAAUUGUAAAUCAUGAGAUAUAAUAGAUUUUGUGAGACAAGGUCAGAAUGAAUUCGGGUUCCCCUGUUCUGACUUUGGAAAAUCAUUAAAAAUUUUAAAAAAAUGAUUAUGAGUUAUAAUUUAUAUGCUUAGAAUCCUUAAUGAGUCUAUUUUCUGAGGAAAUAAAGGGAAACAUCAUCCUAAUUCUGUACAGUGAGAUAAUUAAUUUUUAGUGAAGAGGGGCAGAACUGUCAUACAGUGAAACAGGGGAAACUUUAAAGAAUAAACUGUACUUAUUGGCUAAACCAAAAAUUAUGAAAUUUUUAUGGUAAGAAUAUAUGUGAGUCUAGUUUCAGGAAAAAUUAACGGAUCUUAAUUUGGAGUUCUGUAGCUCAAGAUAUAAAUAAUUUAGUGACUGUGACUCAGUGAGGCAGCUUUGAAUGCACUAUAAAUAAUAAUGGAAUUGUAGAGAAAGUUACAUACGAACAUGAAAUGUAUUAGAUUAAUGAUUAAAUUUAUUUAUUUAAAUCCGGAAAAUUCAAAUACGAAGCAAGAUCGAGGAAAAGAAAAAGUUCGGGAUUAGUAGAUUUUUGUUUACGAACAAUUGUCGAGGUAAGUUCAUGUAACUUGAAUUAUAUUCAUAAAUGCUUGAAAUGUUUGUUAUUGAUGUGAAUAUGAUUUGGAUGUUUAAUGUAUGAUAAUUGAUGAAGUAUUGAUAUUAUUGAUGAAAAGAGGAAAUAAAUCUCGGUUGAAUGAAAGGAAAAAUUCGAUGGAUCUCUGAAAAAGGAAUUGACGGUAAAAAGGAUCUAGCCCGGACGGGUGAUCCUAUCCUGAUAUAGCCCUCCCGAAGAAUAUGUGGAAAAUGGAUUUAGCCCGGACGGGUAAUCCGAAUUAGGGUCUGAAUUUAGCCUGGACUGGUAAUUCAGAUCCAAGCUCAUUAGAGUAAUUGUCGUUGCAGGGGAUUUAGCCUGGACUGGUAAUCCCGACAAUACUCUAUGAGUUUAUAUUACAGGGGAUUUAGCCUGGACUGGUAAUCCCGCUGUAAGGAUGAGGUUCGCGGGAGUGUGCUCUCUGAAAUGGAAAUGUGCGCACAUGAAUAUGAAUUGACGGACCCAGAUUUGUACACUAAAGUGUACCUCUGAAAAUCCAUCGAAAUUUCAAGUAAUUCAAUGGGAUAAAUAUGGAAAAAUAACAAGAAAAUGGAAAUCAUGGAAUUGAUGAGCUCAUCAAUCAUUUAUCUUUGUAAUGAAUUUGCAUGAGGUUGAGUUUGUAUGUGAUAGGUAUAUGUUUAUGUGAAUUGGAUGUGUGCUUGUGUUAUUAAAUGAUGGAUGUAUAAGUAUGGUAAGUAUAAUUCCUGUUGCAUGAACUUACUAAGCACAAAGUGCUUACCCUGUUUCUUUUUCCCCUGUUUGUAGAGUUAAGAGCUCGGAGGUCGGAUUUGGUCGGAGACACAUCACACUAUCAAUCUCGAGAUCUCGGUACAUAAAGGAACUUUAUUUUAGAAAUCAAUGGCAUGUAUAAGCUAGUAAAUUAGAUGUUAAUGUGAAAUGAAUUUAUGGUUAGCCAUUGGUAUGGCUAACAAAUUUUGGUUUUGGUAUGUGAUGAAAUUAUCUUAUGAAUAUGAUAAAUCUAUCUUGAAAAAAAAAUUCGGUAAAAUCUGGUAAUGCCUCAUACUAUAUUUCGGCGACGAAUACAGGUAGGGGGUAUUACAAAAUAAAUAUAAAAAAAAUAAUAUAUCUGAAAAAAACCUUUCAAAAUGUUUUAACCUUUUCUCUUUUUUGUAUUUCUUUUUAAUGUCUUCGUACAAAAAGAAGCCCCCAUUUUUCUUUUUACAACAUUCGACUUUAUAGCCGAAAGAAAAUAAAAACUCAAUUUUUGCUAUUGUUUAGUCUUGUCUACUUUUGCUUCUCUUGUUGCGUGUUUGCAGGUGAUCGUGCAGCAGUGGCAGGAGGCGUCAGACGCACAUGGUAGCAAGUGGCGCGGCGCUGGAGGAAGGACUAGGGUUCUGAAACCCUAGUUCCUAUUGGGUUUGGGCCAUAUUUUAAUGUUCAGGCCCAUUUUGUUUUUUUGUUUUAUUAUUUGUUAUCCUAGUGGGCCGGGCAAAAAUGGGCCUGUAUAAUCUGGUUCAACUUUUUUGCUCUAUUUUAGUAUCAAUAUGAAUUUAUAUUUUUGAUUUUGCAAGUGAGUAAUGUAAUUUGAAUCGAAAGGGUAGGUCAACUUACGCGGUGUAGCCGAGCUCAAACCAUUCGAAACUCGAUCUGAAAUGCAAGGCUCCAAGCUCAACUUGAGUUUGAUUGAAUUUUGCUUUUAUAGCUGAAGAGAUUUGAGAUAAUAGUCGAAUUGGAUGAGCCUCAAUUAAAGUGAAAUAUAAACUCAGUUUUUAUACUCAAGUUUGGAUUCAAAUUGAAACAAUAGUAAUUAAAAAGAAAAAGCUCGAUUCAGCUCUUAGACUACUUGACUCAAAUACUCAAAUUCAGCUCUUUCACUAGCUCGAGCUUGAUUUGACGAUGGUCAAGAUGAAUUCAAGUUUUUUCAAGCUGAAGACAAAUAGCUUUUGUAAUACAAGUGUGUCUUUUGCUCUCUUAGAUCUACGAAGGUUGGAGGUUAGAUUUUAGUGCUCUUAAAACCCGAAACUUAAGUGGUUUUGCUUGUUGUGUUUGUCACUUCCUGCUUCAAUGUCUCUAUCUAUCUUUCUUUUCUUAAUUUUGAUGUUAUAGGCGGUAACAUUUUUUGUUUGCAAUAGUUUGUCAUAGGCUUACCAAGCAUUUUUCUUCAUUAACAUUAACUUCCUUAGUUUUGGACUCUAUAUUCAUUUUAUUUUUAAGGUAAUGUUAUAUUAAAUGGUAUUCCUUCAUGUAAUAACAGACAAAUACCAAAACCAUAUCUGAUAUUGUAAAUAGAUUCAUGAUCACAACAAGACAACUAAUACCUUUGUAUUUUCUAAAAGAGAACUUAAUUGUUGAUUUUAGUAUAAGUUUACGUUUGUUGGUUGGUUUGUAGAUGUAUUUUUGAUUCAAUUGAAUGAUAGUGUUUAAUUUUGUGUCCUAGGUAAUCACUCCCGUUUUUCAUAUGUAUUAUACAUCAUUUGUUUGUUGGUCUGUACAUGUAUUUGUGUUGCUGUUACGAGCAUUUCUUGUUUAUACAUUUUGAAUUGGCUCAAGUUUUCUUAUACUUCUUGCUUGUACUUAUUGAUUUGUAAUUUCAAUGAUUAUUUUCUGACCUUGUUUGAUUGAUUCUUUUUUAUGUCAGGCAGCUCGUUAUUGCAUCAGUUAGUGUUCCUUUGUUUGAGAUAUUCCUUACGAAGAAGUGACGUGGAUGGAGUUAGAAGGAUUUAAUGACGACUUCUUUUGUAGUGUAUUUGAUUGUCUUGUGGGUUAUAAAUCUAAGGCCAAAGCUUUUUUAGCAAAAAGUACGAAGCAUAGAAAAAUUUGACUUCAAAAAUUUUCACAAGGUUUAAGAUAUUGAUGCUUCAAUAUGGUGUAGUACUAAUUAUGUGGUGUAAUACUAGUUAUGGACUUGGAAAAUAUUGUAUUUACCAUGUGAUAUACUACUAAUUAUGCACUUGGAUAAUAUUACUAUUUUGUAGUAUUAAUUGUGGUUUGGAAGCUAAUUUAUUAUUAUUAUUUAAUCUUUGUUUUUUUUAUAACGCAAUUAGUAAUCAUCUAUUCGCUUUGGUUGUUUUCAAUUUUUUUUUAUUGUUAAUAUUCUAGCUUAAUAAUUCAGUACUAUGAUAUAUUUAAUUUAAUGUAUUUAUUUAUAAAUAAAUCAUUGCAAUAUAUAUAAAAAUAAUGUAAAUAUAAUAAACUCAAUUAAACAAUGAAAUAAUAAUAAAUUCUCAAAUGUUUGUUUUAUUUAAAAUAGUUUUCCUAAAAUAUUUUCAGGAAAUCUGCCAAACAACAGAAAAUAUUUUACACAGAUCCAUCCAAACACCAGAAAAUAUUAACUUUUCUAGAAAAGUAAGUCAUUUUUCAGAAACCAUUUUUAGUCAACCAAACAGACCCUAAGAUUCAAUCCUGAUUACUUUUUAAUAUAUAUAUUAACUGAGGUGCCCUUUGUUGACUUUUGACUACCCUUAUUUAAAUAAUGAAUUUGGAACAUGCUUUAUUAAUAUUUAAAUAAAUAUAAUUAUAUUUAUAAGAGAAUGUUUGUAUUCAUUCAUAUGUAAGGUGGCUUAUUCACAAAGGUAGAUAGACAAUGCCUUUUUGAAGGGAGUGGGUAGUUCAUUUACAAUAAUGAAUGACUUAUCCUCGAGAGGUCAAAACCCUUCCGAAAAGAUUGGAGGGUUGAAUGGGGCAUGCCCUCCAAGAUGUGGGUCGUUUGAUUAGUACCUCGGUAGUGGAAAGCAAAGAACUACCUUCUCAAGUGAUUUGCUAUACUAACUCCUGUUCAAAGAUAGAGGGAUAUAAUAAACUUAAUUUAAAAAAGAAAGUAUUUUGAAAGUGAAAGAGCUAAUCAAAAACUCAAAAUACUUCCUUUUCUUUUAAUUAUAUUUAAAAUGACUCCCUUUUUAGAAUUAAGUUUUAAUAAUAAAUUAUAUUAAUUAAUAAAUGCAAUAAAAUAAAUAUCAUUUUAAUUUACAUUUGUUUUUUAAACAAGCAAAUUUAUUAUUUCUUCUCAUUUUAGUUAAGAAUAAAAUAAGGGAUUAAUUUUUGGUAAAAAUAUAAUUUUUGUACCUUUAUUUCAUUUUUAAUAAUUAUAUUUCUACAUUUACAUUUGUUUUUUAAACAAGCUCGUUAUGUCCUCGAAUGAUUCAUAAGAAAAUUACAUGAGAAUACGUUAUAAAGAGCAUAUAAAGUGGUGUAGUGAAUAAUAUCAGGGGGAAAUUACCCUUCAUCUCAUCAACCAAUUCUACAACUUCUUCCACUUAACCUACCUUAUAGAGAGCAUCAGCCACUACGUUAAGAAAUAUCCCAAAUAUGUUCUUCCAUGCAUAUAAAGCCCUUUCAUAUAGCCAUAUCAACGUUCCCACAAUGUAUCAAACGAUAAAUUUACAUGAGAAUACGCGUGUAACAAUUGCUUGACUUUAAGUUCGAAACAAGAUAUUAAUAACUUUACCAAACAUUAAUGUAUGCCUACACAAUAAAGUGAAGGAUUAUUCUCCUGAGUUUUUAUACAUAGGAAGGAUUAGGUAAUCUUAAACAAGAACUGAUGCAAACUAAUUAUAACGGUGAUUUGGGGCUGAAAUACUUUCCUAUCACUCUUGAAUCUAAUAUCUUCAUGGCUUCCUCAGAUUUAAUGCAACUAGGUUUUUUGUAUUGGCUCAAUGAAGUUCCUUUGGACACAUAGUAAUCCAUUAGUGCCUCAAAACUUCCUUGCUUUACCACCCUAAUCUCCAAAGCUGCAAUUAUGUUCCUUUUCCUAUAGAUUUUAUAUGUAUAAUGCAAUGACUCUUCCAUUCUAGAGCAACACUCUACCAUUAUCUUUGGGUCAAGUUCUUUGCAAUGCGUGCCUUCUUUUCCCUUGAUCUCCCAAAAUAAUACAUAGUGACCUGGUGCAGAAGAAGUAUCAACGUAGCUAGUGUACUCUGUCAAGAUGAAUCCGAGUGGAUCGAGAAGAGCCUUUGCUUCUGUCACAGCCUUGAAAAGGUCUGUUUCGCUUGUUUUUUCCUGAUCAACACUUAGGAUAACAUUUUUCCUCUCCACAAAUUGGAAUUGAGGUGCAUUAUUGUAGAAACCACUCACCAUAAGAACAUCUCCAACUUUAUAUCGAUAUAAUCCUGAAAGGAAUAUCAUCAAACUAGAUUAGAUCAUUAUCUAAGAGGUUAAUGUAGGAACUAGGAAGCAUAAUGCAAACUAGAACAUGGCAUUUGAUUAAUUGAUUAUAUUCAAAACAGGAACUUUUACCUGCACAAGUUGUGACAACUAGUUCAUAACACUGACCAGCCUUCACAUUUACAAGAUCAACAAGUUCAGUAUCUUCAUUGUUGCUCUUCAUUUCAAUAGAUCCAUCACCUUCAUUCUUUACUGGAAGGAAUUCGAAGUAAGCCAUGUUAGGGAGAAAUGUGUAGGAGAUAUCACAAGGUUUGCAUAGAGGUUCUAAGUUCAUCCCACAAAUAGCUUCCGAGCAAGCAUAUAAAUCUGAAACUAAAGGGAGCCCUCUGCAAUAGAACUCGAGUUCUGUAGUAUACUGUCUCAUAAUGCCAGUACAAAUGCAGCAAAUAUACCUUGCUUUAGGCCAUAACUUUCUGAUUAUUCCUUCCCAUGAUUUACAAUUACAUAUAGUUUCUAUCAGGUCAGCCUGUUCUGGAUUAGGCUUCAUGACCAAUGAUGCUGCAUUUCUGCAUCCUGAGUCGGUGAUCCAAUCGCUUAAUCGACCUGUUUUUAUGUCAUAGCAUAGCUCUUGCCAGUGAUUUUCUAGAAACUUGAUACCUCUUAGCACCGUAGAUGCAAAGACUGAACCAACCUUGACAACUUCGUCUCGUUGGAUUAAACCAAAAAGUAAUUGACAGUAUAAGCCCUGGUUGGGGUCUGGGCAAAAGAUGGUCUCAACGGGGCUUGUGUAAAGCUUAGGCAAAUUGGCUCUAAAAUUACACUCGUUGUAUAUGCUCGUUGAAACAGAUGCUGCCUUGAGGCCACUAGGAGUUUCAAUCUCUGGUCUGGCAAACAUAAGCUCCAGUCUUUUACCGGCUUGGUUGAUGUCACCAAAGUGCCUUUAAAAUUAGACGGAUAAAGGCAAAUAGUUAGUUUUAGGACUAAGUUGCCGUUGUAAAUGCAAAAAGCAAGAAAAGCAACUAUGUAUAUUAUAGCUAUAUAUGUACAAGUAGUAUUUACUAAAUACGGGUGUUACUAUCUGCGUGGUAUAUUAUACAUAUAUGCAUAUUAUAUGCAUUUGCUUAAUCUGGUAACUUUUAUACAUAUAUUCACAAGCAGCUGAAAGAAAAACUAGAAGAAAAUAGGGAUGGGUUCCUUACUUCAUCGCAGGAGACUCGUACAAGCCACGAAAUAAUUCCCACUUAUUAGCAACUUCAGCAGUGACAGGCAUCAGCUUUGGCUGCCCGCCUGAAGUCCCAGAGCUGCAUUUGAUCAAACAGAUGAUAGAACUAUUAGAAGGAACCAAACAGUACCCCGAAACACACAGAAACAAAGCAACAAAUUCAUGCAUGCCUUAGAAAGAACCCUGUAAUGGGUUCAGCUAAAAGGAUAUCUGAUGUCUCCCCAUUAGCAAUCCUAUCUAUGUAAGGCUUGAGAUCUUCAUAAGUAACUAUGGGAACAUUUUUCUUAAAGAGCUGCUUCUCGGUUUGACCAUGGAGGUAUCCCCUUAAAUACUCUGUUCCUGCAUUUCGACUUAGUAUUUCCCCCAAUACCUCGUCUUGAAUUUGCUCAGCAUUUGUGGUCAGUUCCGCAAUCAUCUUCAACCUACCUUCACACCCAUUCGUUGCCAUCAGCCCUAUUACUGAGAUCCAGACAGCUUUUUCUGUUUUCUUUUUGGGGAUGUUCUAGCUAUUGGCAAUGUAGUCUCUACGCUAAAUAGAAUAAGACUCAUGGGACUUGACCCCACACAUGUCGACACGCAUAAUACACAACGUGGCAUCAACGAAAUGGUUAAAACUAAGAAAGUUGAAUUUAAUGUAAUUGCGUACCAAUUUAUGCCUCUUCCAAUUUUCAAAAGCUAAUUAGACAUGUGUGUCUAAUAAAAUAAAAAUAUUUUAUUUUAUUUUUUUAUGAACAAUUUUCAAUUAAUUAAAAGAAUGAUAAAAUAAAAUACAAUAAAAACGCAACAAAGGGAGGAUAAUUAGUAAAUCAUAAAAAAUGUGUCUUUAUCUACAAUUUUUAUUUGAUAAAAUAUUUUGUGGCACAUAUUUGAUUUUUGUAAUAAAUUACGUGAAACGCUAACCCACCUUGAAAUAAAAAAAUUGGGACAAAUCCGAAUCUCCACAAACUUCUCGAAUAAAUAAAAUAAAAUUUUAUAUAGAGUAUUGUCCCUAUACUUUGUUUAAAAUUAUAUUUCAGUCACUCAACUUUCAAAAGUUAUAUAAUGGUCAUUAACAUUAUCAAAUUGUUACAUUUUUUUAUCACUCUUCCGUUAAAAAAGUAACGAUGCACCUUAAUGUAAAGGGUUAAUAGCUAAUUGGUCCAUGAACUAUUGUUAAAAAAUCAUUUUUAAAUUUUUAAAUUUUUCUUAAUAAUAAUAAUAAAUUAAUUAAUUAAAACACUAUAUAAAAUAUAAAAUUUAGAUAUUACAAUAAUUCAGACAAUCAUUGUCGCUUUUUAUUAAAAAGAAUUAAAUGAUGUAUGUGAAAAAUACUUUAUUAAUAUUUAAAUAAUAUAAUUAUUUUUAUAAGAUAAUGUUUGUAGUAGAAGUAUUUUUUUAAAAGAUUCAUAAAAGCAUGAUAUUAGAAAUUAAAAUGGAAAUUAAUGGUUCAAAAAAUGAAAAUUAAAUAAGAUAAAUUCCUUUUCCUAAGCAACAUAAAUUUUAUAGAGACUAAAAUAGUUAAUAUUAUUAACAUAUUUCUAAAAUUAUAUAAUGUUUUAAAUGGUGGGGACUAAAUGAGAAAAUUAAAAAGGCAAAAACCAUUGAUAGAAUAAAUUAAAAAUAUUAAGGAGUAUAUGUUGCAAAUAACCCUUCACGUUUCCCGUAUAUAAAAGGCAUUUAUUUCCUCUCUUAUUUUCAUGUUUAAUGGGAUGUCAUAGUGAUUAAAUGCUAAAGUUACAUAUUUUAUGUAAUUAAAUUGGUUAAUUUAUGAGAAUGCGUCACUAAUUUUGCCAUAUUUAUUGAAUUUUGUGCAAGAAUACAAUUUGGGGCUAAAUAAAAGAAAAAGGAAACAAUUGGGCUAGAUUGAAGAAAGAAGCAAAGAAGGAGGGCCAAAGCAGAAUUUUGCCAAGAAUAAUUAGCUGAAAUUGUUGACUUAGUGGGAGAUUAUUUUGGGAUAUUUUUUUAUAUCAUGGAAUAUUUUUCCUUGAUUUUCUAUACUAGUUGGCUCUUAAUUUAGUAAGGCCACUAGUAUAAAUAGAGGCUACAUUAUUCAUUUUAAUCACCAAUCAAUUCAUGAAUCAAGCUUUCAAUUAAGUCUUUCAUUAAGUGUUUUUCUUUCUUCAAGUAUUUUUCAUUUAGUUCUUUUAUCAAGUUUUUAAUUACCAAGUUUUGUAGCAAGUUCUUUUUAAGUUUUUCAUCAAGUUUUUUAAUAAAAUUUUCCAUCAAGUUUUUAAUCAUUUCGUUUUUAAAUUAAGCUUUUAUCUCUUGCAAUUCAAUCUUUUCUUUCUUUCUUUUUUUAUCAACAAUUAAUUUCCAACCUUGCGUCACCUUCACCACUCACUUUCAUUUUUUUCAUUUAUUCAAUCUUAUUUAAUUAUUCCAAUACCAACAUGUCCCAAACCUUAGCCAAUUAAACCCUUUUUCAGCUUUAGGCCGAAAUUAGCCUCGUUAAAACCCGUGAGUUACGAACCCGAGCCAUUUAACUCCUAAUAUUCCAGUACUUAUUACUUCUCCGGAUUAAGAGUAUGAUUUUGUCAACUCACAAAGUCAGAUCAACACUAAGUCAAAAAAGACGUCGUUUGAUUUAGUGUGAUUGGACGUACAGUUGGAAUUCUGAAAGGAACGUUUCUAAUCGGUUUUCUGUGAACACAUUGGCGUGCCAAGUGGAGAUUGCUGUUUGGUUCCGUCAAGGGAAGUAGUAACCGAAUUUAAAUGUCCCACGCGGUUAAGGGCAUUGGUUCGAGCUAGGCUCUUUUAGAACGCAAAGUUGCCGGAGUUCUAAAUCACGAACGUUUCGUGGUUGUUCGAUCGGUAAGGGUUAGUUAUUGGACGUUCCAUAACUAAUUUACACAAGGAAGAGUUGGUGUUCGAGGCGUCCUUGGUAGCUAUAACUAGCUUAUUGGAAAAGAGGAGUUCAUCUAAUUUCGAGGAUCGGUUCAAAGACGAGGAAAAUUCGUGCCUAAAGCUGAGCUUAUUCUAAUUAAUUUUUCUUAAUAUUUAUUUCACUAUUUUUAUUAUCAUGUUUUCAACUUUUACUUUUUACGUUAUUUUUCUGUUUAUUUCAGGUCAUCAAAUUUUAUCCCCCCGAAUUUCUUGGGCAUGACAGCUGCCCCGACAUAAAUCUGGUCAAGAGAGCAACAAUUUACAGUAAACCAAUCUCUGAGGGAUCGACCCUACUCCCUAUACUGCAUAAUUUGCAAAUUAAGGCGUAGGUUUAUAUUGGUGGAUUCGACACCCAUCAGUUUUGGCGCUGUUGUCGGGGACUGACAACACUCACAAUUGUUUAAAUUAUCUUCAUGACCAAAUCUUCAUCCGGAGAUCUCGAAUACGACCUAGAGAUCAAAAAAUCAGUACGAGCACGACGAAAAGAGACAGAAGCUCUUAAACGUGCAAGUAAAGCAGAAGUUGAGCUAGGACAAGGGCUCUUAGAAAUCGACAUUGAAAAAUUGAGAUAAGCAAUUCGUGCAUAGGCAAUUCGACGUGGGAAACAAGUCGAAGUGGUUGAUCCUGAGACCGAACCACUUCCUGAAACAAAAAAAGUAGAAGACAACCUCGGCGAACCAGAAAGGAUGGCGAACUGAACUAUUCGUCAACUAGCCGCUGCUUCCAACGAGCAAACACCAUUAUGCAUCAACUAUCCAGUCGGAGAAACCCCAUUCGAGUUAAAAUCAGGCCUGAUUCACCUUUUGCCCACUUUUCGAGGCUUGAAAAAUGAGAAUCCACAUACCCACUUGAGAGAAUUCCACAUGGUCUGCUCAAGCAUGAAACCACAGGGAGUAACCGAAGAUGAAAUUAAACUUCGGGCCUUUCCUUUUUCUUUAGUUGAUACAGCAAAAGAAUGGUUAUUUUACUUACCUCCAGGUUCUAUUACAACGUGGGAUGACUUAUCUCGUGUUUUUCUUGACAGAUUUUUCCCAGCAUCGCGAGCAGCUGAACUUAGGAGAGACAUAGUAGGAAUUCGCCAAAUGGAAAGUGAAUCGCUCUAUGACUAUUGGGAGCGGUACAAAAAACUGUGUGCAAGUUGUCCUCAACACGGUUUGACUGAGCAAUCACUUUUUCAGUAUUUCUACGAGGGUUUGCUCCCUAUGGAAAUGAAAAUGAUUGAUGCUGCUAGUGGAGGGGCGCUUGUCAAUAUGACUCCUCAAAGGGCAAGAGAACUGAUAUCCACCAUGGCGACAAAUUCUCAACAGUAUCGGCCAAAUUUAGAACCCACAAGACAGGUUAAUGGGGUAAACGUUUCAUCCUUAGAAGAUAAAUUGGAUAAGCUUACCAAUAUUGUUCAGUCUAUGCUUACAGAAAAGAAGAAUCAGACCCAACUGUGUGGAGUUUGUACUACAUCUGAACAUUCGACGGAUUUGUACCGAAUCCUUAACGAAAAUUCAACAGCACAUGUCGACGCUGUCGGAGGUUUUCCGGAACCUCUACAAAGACGCUAUGAUCCUUUCUCCAACACUUACAAUCCCGGGUGGAAGGAUAUCCCAACUUGAAUUAUGGAUCCAAUCCUCGAUAUAACCCAUCGUACCAACCAAGACCUCCGCAACCGCCACUCAAGCCGAGCACAUCUCUAGAAGCUGUUAUGGAAAGACUUGUCGUCGAUGUUGCGAAGUACCAACAGAGGACAGACGCAUCAAUACAGGAUUUAACUAAUCAAGUUAGUAAACUCUCGAUGAUGGUUAAUCGUUUGGAAUCUCAAGGUAAAUUACCUUCUCAGACGGAGCCGAAUCCUCGACAAAAUGCAAGUGCAAUAAUUCUUCGUAGUGGAAAAAUUCUGUAACCAGUUCCCGAAAAAAGUCAUGGGUAAGACAAGGAACGGGAAAAUCAUAUCUCUGAUCCAAAAGCCAAACCAGAAUUAGAAAUUCAGAAACCAAUUGUGAUGCCACCUCCUUUUCCAGGGAGACUCGCAAAGGAUAAGAAAGAGAAUAAGGAAAAAGAAAUCCUCGAAACGUUCAGGAAGGUGGAGGUAAAUAUCCCUUUGCUCGACGCUAUCAAGCAAAUCCCUCGUUAUGCGAAAUUUCUCAAGGAAUUGUGCACUAGAAAAAGGAGGUUAAUAGGUAACGAAAGAGUAAAUGUAGGAGAAAAUGUCUCCGCAGUACUGCAAAAGAAAGUUCCGCCUAAAUACAAGGACCAAGGUAUGUUUGCUAUUUCCUGUGAGAUAGGUAAUGUAGGCAUUAAGAAAGCCAUAUGUGAUUUAGGGGAUUCCAUUAAUGUUAUGUCUUAUCCUAUUUAUAAGUUAAUUAACGCGGGUCCUUUGAAAAAGAUAGGAGUAAUAAUCCAAUUGGCGGACAGGUCAGUCAUCUAUCCCGAAGGGUUGCUUGAAGACGUCCUUGUUAAAGUUAACGAAUUAGUUUUCCCUGCAGAUUUCUACAUUAUUAAUAUGGAGGACGAUAACUCCACUAAUUCGUCUGACAUUUUACUUGGAAGACCGUACCUAAGUACCGCAAGCGCAAAAAUUGAUAUUCAGAGUGGAACAUUGACAAUGGAGUUUGAUGGCGAAAUCGUGAAAUUCAAUGUCUACGAAGCCAUGAGUCAUCCUAACUCAUUAUCAAAUAUUUCCAGUAUCGAUAGUAUAGAUUGUUUAACUCAAAAUUAUUUUGAAUAUCAUGACUUUGAUGAGUUGGAAACUAUCCUUUUACAGAAGCAUUAACAUGGAUGUAUUGAGUCGUCUCAAGGAGUUAGCAGUUAUAGAAGAUCCGUUGCGAGAAAUUGUAAAACACUUGGAGACGCAACCAUCGUCGACGAGUCGAGGUAACCAACUUGAACUAUUACCUUCCCAAGUUAAAAUGUUGCCUUCGAUUUUGCAGCCACCAACUUGGAGCUUAAAGUGUUACCGGACCACCUUAAGUAUGUCUUUUUGGGAGAGAAAGACACCUUACCGUUAAUAGUGUCAAACAGACUAACCAAAGACGAGGAGGAAAGUCUAGUUCGAGUUCUGAAGGAUUAUAAGGAAGCUAUUGGUUGGACAAUAGCUGACAUAAAAGGGCUAAGUCCAUCCACUUGUAUGCAUAGAAUUUCCAUCGAAGAUAACACGAAACCAAAGAGAGAUGCUCAGAGGCGCCUUAAUCCACCCAUGACGGAGGUAGUAAAGAAAGAAAUCCAGAAAAUGUUGGAUGCUGGAAUGAUAUACCCGAUCUCUGACAGUGACUGGGUUAGCCCGGUUCAUGUCGUGCCCAAGAAAACUGGCGUGACAGUGGUGAAAAAUUCGUCAGGAGAGCUAGUUCCUACCCGAGUCCAGAAUGGAUGGAGGGUUUGCAUCGAUUACAGGAAGUUGAACGCAGCGACCCGAAAAGACCAUUUCCACUUCCUUUCAUCGAUCAAAUACUCGAGCGAUUAGCUGGUAAGACUCAUUAUUGUUGUCUCGAUGGAUAUUCAGGAUUUUCCCAAAUUCCGGUGGCGCCUGAGGAUCAAGACAAAACAACUUUCACGUGCCCCUUUGGAACGUUUGCGUAUAGACGAAUGCCGUUUGGACUCUGUAAUGCUCCGGCCACCUUCUAGAGAUGCAUGGUAAGCAUAUUCUCCAAUUACGUCGAGAAAAUCAUUGAAGUCUUCAUGGAUGACUUCACGGUGUACGGUAAAUCUUUUAAUGAAUGUCUCGAUAAUCUUGCUAAGAUAUUACAAAGAUGCCUAGAAUUUAAUCUUGUUUUAAAUUAUGAAAAAUGCCACUUUAUGGUUGACAAAGGAUUAAUUUUAGGUCAUAUAGUUUCCUCAGAAGGUAUUGAGGUCGAUAAAGCAAAAACGGAUAUUAUUAACUCAUUACCUUAUCCGACAUCUGUGAGGGAAAUUCGUUCGUUUCUUGGGCAUGCAAGAUUUUACAGACGAUUCAUAAAAGACUUCUCGAAGAUCGCGCAACCGCUUUGCAGUCUGUUAUAGAAGGAUAAAGAAUUUAAAUUUGACUAGACUUAUAAAGAUGCAUUUGCACUAGACUUAUAGUGCAACCACCAAAUUGGAACUUCCCGUUCGAAAUCAUGUGUGAUGCAAGUGAUCGAAGUGUGGGAGCUGUUCUUGGCCAAAGAAUAGGGAAAGAGCCUCAUGUUAUCUACUAUGCUUCGAAAACCUUGGAUGCUGCCCAAAGCAAUUAUACAACAACUGAGAAAGAAUUAUUAGCUGUUGUGUUUGCUUUAGAUAAAUUUAGAUCUUACCUAUUGGAAACUAAAGUGAUUAUUUUUUCUGAUCAUGUAGCAUUGAAAUAUUUGAUAGGGAAGAAGGAGGCAAAACCUCGACUGAUUAGGUGGAUUCUACUCCUGCAAGAAUUUGAUUUUGAAAUUCGGGAUAAGAAGGGAUGUGAAAGCUUAUUAGCUGACCAUAUUAGUCGAUUACCGAUUUCAGCAGAUGACACACCAUUGAAAGAUAACUUCCCAGAUGAAAACCUGUUUUCAGCAAAUGCGGUUCAUCCUUGGUACGCAGAUAUAGUAAACUAUCUUGUCACAGGUACUAUACCUUCAGAAUUACCAAGGUCUAAAAAAGAUAAGAUUAAAAAGGAUGCUCGAUAUUACAUUUGGGACGAUCCUUACCUAUGGAAGCAUUGCUCUGAUCAGGUAAUCCAACGGUGUGUAGCAGAAACAGAGGUACAGUCUAUCUUAACUUUUUGUCAUUCUUAUGCAUGUGGAGGACACUUUGGACCCAAACGCACCGCACAUAAAAUUCUCAAGUGUGGACUAUUUUGGCCAAACAUAUUUUGUGAUGCCUUCUUAUUCUGUAAAACCUGUGAAAGAUGCCAAAAAGUCGGUAACCUUAGUCGACGAAAUGAGAUGCCCCUUACUUCUAUCCAUAUUUAUGAAAUUUUCGAUGUGUGGAGCAUCGAUUUUAUGGGACCUUUUAUUUCUUCUUUUGGUAAUUUUUAUAUACUCUUAGCUAUUGAUUACGUUUCUAAGUGGAUAGAAGCAAAGGCUACUCGCAAUGAUAAUGCUAAGACUGUGGUUGACUUUCUUAAAAGUUCUAUCUUUUCCAGGUAUGGCACCCCACGAGCAUUAAUCAGCGACAGAUGAACUCAUUUCUGCAAUAAACUCGUAAGUGCACUUAUGGAAAAAUAUAAAGUGACUCAACGAAUUGCCACUGCCUACCAUCCAUAAACAAACGGACAAGCUGAAGUGUCAAAUCGAGAAAUCAAGUCCAUAUUGGAGAAGACUGUUAAACCUAACAGAAAGGAUUGGAGCUUGGGACUAAAUGACGCACUUUGGGCUUAUAGGACAGCUUACAAUGGACCAAUAGGCAUGUCACCUUAUCGACUUGUUUUUGAUAGACCGUGUCAUCUCCCGGUUGAAUUAGAGCAUAAAACAUUUUGGGCAGUUAAGCAGUGUAAUAUGGAGAUGGAGACCGCAGGAAGAGCUCGAAAGUUGGACAUUCAGGAACUCGAGGAAAUUAGAAAUGAUGCAUAUAAAAAUGCUCGAGUUUAUAAAGAAAAGACGAAGGCGUUCCACGAUAAGAUGAUCACUAGGAAGCAGUUUUCAAUAGGACAAAAAGUUCUCCUAUACGACUCCACCUUAAAAAUUUUCGCUGGUAAGCUUCGAUCCAAAUGGAUAGGUCCAUUUACUAUCACUAAUUUAUUCUCAAAUGGUGCAGUGGAAAUUCAAAGCGAAGAAACCCGGAAGUGCUGUAAGGUGAAUGGUCAACGAUUGAAACCCUUCUACGAGAAUUUUCAAACGCACACGAUUGAGGAGAUUGUUCUCGAGGAGCUCGAAAAUUGAAUAACAGGUCGUCGAGCUAACGACGUUAAACAUAGCGCUGUUGGGAGGCAACCCAAAUUUUCUUUUCCUUUAUGAAAAUAAAAUUUUUGGUAAAGUGGAAAAUGAAAAUGCAUAUCGAGGAUUAGUUCUGUCUAAGGAAAGACUUGGUACUUAAGUAUGUCCAUUGUGACUCACCUCUCUUUACUGGGAACUUACUUGGUGCAUUUAUCACGACUAUUUUACCAAAUAUCGUAAUUUUAAUUUCUUUCUUGAGUUUAUAGCUUAGUUAAUAAAUUUGAAAAAAAAUUCCUAUUAUUAUUAUUACUUAUUAUUACUGUUUUAUUUCAUUUUUAUUUUUAUUUUUGCAGGGAAACAUUCCAAGACAAAGUUAAAAUUCCACAUGUCAUCCCACAAAAUUCUUUUUAUUUUCAGCCAAGGCCCACUCAGCAUAUCCACUUUUUUUUAAAAAAAUUAAUCCAAGCUAGCCCAUUAACCCAAACCCAUCAUACCUACCCAAAACCAAAAAGAAAAAAAAAUCAAAAUUUAAACCCAAAUUUUCCCACCCCAAUCGUCCAACCCUUUUCCAAUAUAAAAAAAACCCUUACACCCAUCACAUCCUAGCCUUUCACCCAUCAAAUCAAACUUUUCACCUAAAAAAUAACCCCACUACCCCAUAUUGAACCCAAAAUCUUUCUACCCCAACCGUCCACUCCUUUCAAAUAAAAACAAAAACCCUUACACCCAUCAAAUCCUAAUCUUUCACCUAGCACAUCCUAGUUUUCUUUUCACCCUAAAAAAACCACACAAACACAUUACCCAUUAUUUGACCGGCUAAAGAAAGAAAAUUUUUUUUCAAACUCUUCCUUUCUUUUAUUUCCCUUCACCUUCAACACUGCUAUUUCUUUUUCUUUCUUUUACCAUCUUCAACACCACAACUCCAAACAGCCCUCCAAGAAAGCCAUGGUACGUACUCGCGACCGCGCAGUGCAAGAACCACCUUCCGUGGUAAAUCGACGUAAACACCAUUUUUUUCGCUCCAACCUUUGUCACCAUCGACUCCGACGAGUCUCCUCCAUCAUCACCGCCGCAACCACGCCACCCUAGAAGAAACCGUAGCCCAACUCCGAUCGCCGUAAUCUACUCGCCCCAUGAGCCGCCCGUUUCGACCGACCACCAUUCCAACAGCCCAGUCGAACCACCUAACUCGUCCGACAUCCAAGAUCGCCCCUCUCCCCAACCAAAUGUCCAUGCACGACAACCACCACAACCGAGACCUUCGAGAAGAACUCCGCGAUCCCUAAACGAUGGUGCUGAACCACAUUCAACGUAAAGACAAACCCGAGGCCGCCAACAGCCACCUUUGGUCGGUUCAUCAACUCCAACAGCGGGCGAUGCCGAAAAUUACGAAAAUGAAACGAAAAAUCAGGACACUGAGUAUCAUCCACGUGAGCGAGGUCAAUUUCGACAAGGAAGAGUAUUCAUGCCCCCGGAGAACAGAUUUCACGGGAAUCUAACAUUUACGAAUCCGGCACAUCAAGCGCAAUUCAAACAAAUUCAACAUCACCUUCUUCCAGUAUGUAAGCACGUCGACUCAUUCUCAUUAUAUUAUUUAGUUAUUGAAGAAUCUGUUAAUCAAUAUUUUGAUGCUAUUGGGUGGACUGAUUUUGCUGCUAUUGAUGAACCUGCAUAUUAUGAGUUGGUUUUUGAAUUUUAUUCUACAUUUUAUUUCAACCGUUCUGCCAACACCAUAGAUACGCCUCAUGCUCUCAAUUUUCGCUUGCUAGGUGUACAUUAUAAUCUGUUUCUUUCUGAGUUUAAUAUUGCUUUGGGAUUUGUUAUUGAGGACUAUUUAGCAACUAAUGACUAUUAUGACUCUUUUCUCGACAUACCACCUGACUUUGAUGCUAAUGAAGCUUUGGCAUUGUUAACUGAAAUGAGACAGAUUUCGUAUGAUCAGAAACGUUACAAAGACAUAGGAAUUCAUAGUCCUGCACUUCGAUAUAUACACUGAUUCCUUGCUUUCAAUUUUUCGGGACGUAAUGAUGUGUCUGCUUCUUUAACUAGAACUAAAUUAUUUUUUCUAUGGUGCAUGCGUUCGGGAAAAAAGGUAAAUUUAGGAUAUUGGUUUGCUAUACAGUUUCAGCAUGUUUUGCGAUCGAAUCGGCCACUUAUUUUGGGUACUUACAUCACACAUUUAGCCUCUAAUUUGAAUCCAUCAGCUGUCAAUUUUAGUUCUUUGAAUUUGGCAUACAAAACGGACUCUUUAGAUACAUACUGUUUGGAUUCCAUGGUGUUACUUGCCGGUACCCCUUCUUCUUUUUAUUUUGUUCCUCCAGGUACAAGAACAGAUCGGUCGCAUAGAGUAUUCAGACGAAGACACCAGCACGGACCAGAGCCUCCAAAUUUUGUCGAAUCUUGAUUAACCCGAAUCGAAGAAGGACUCGACUCUUUACGUACCUUAGUGACAGACGUUCUCACACAUCUACGAGACCAUCCUCCACGACGUUGAAAUAUAUGGGAAGUUUAUUUUUCUUCUUUUGUCUACUUAAUUUUACCUUAUAUCCUUUAAUAUUACAUUGGGACAAUGUAAAAUAAGUAGGGGGAGGGAAACAUAAAUUGGUUCUAAUUUCCUUAUCUAUCAUCGCUAUUUUUGCAUGUUUUUGGUAAAAGGUAAAUUUUUCUUUUAAUUGGGAUGAUACACUUAUGGUUUGACCGAUUUAGCUAUUUAAUUCUUUACACAUGAAACUUUUCAAUAACCUAGACUUAGUGGGUAAGAAAUUUUUGGGAAUUAUGAGUUUGCUUGAUUGCCUACCUUUUAUCAUAUGUUUUUAUUAUUUUGUCAAAAAAAAAAGAAAAAAAAAGAAAGAAAAGAUUGAAUUACAAGAGAUAAAAGCUUAAUUUAAAAACGAAAUGAUUAAAAACUUGAUGGAAAAUUUUAUUAAAAAACUUGAUGAAAAACUUAAAAAGAACUUGCUACAAAACUUGAUAGAAAACUUGGUAAUUAAAAACUUGAUAAAAGAACUAAAUGAAAAAUACUUGAAGAAAGAAAAACACUUAAUGAAAGACUUAAUUGAAAGCUUGAUUCAUGAAUUGAUUGGUGAUUAAAAUGAAUAAUGUAGCCUCUAUUUAUACUAGUGGCCUUGCUAAAUUAAGAGCCAACUAGUAUAGAAAAUCAAGGAAAAAUAUUCCAUGAUAUAAAAAAAUAUCCCAAAAUAAUCUCCCACUAAGUCAACAAUUUCAGCUAAUUAUUCUUGGCAAAAUUUUGCUUUGGCCCUCCUUCUUUGCUUCUUUCUUCAAUCUAGCCCAAUUGUUUCCUUUUUCUUCUAUUUAGCCUCAAAUUACAUUCCUGCACAAAAUUCAAUAAAUAUGGCAAAAUUAGUGGUGCAUUCUCAUAAAUUAACCAAUUUAAUUACAUAAAAUAUGUAACUUUAGCAUUUAAUCACAUAGGCUGUUGUAUCAAAGCCCGUGAUGAAAUGCACGCAGGUUGUCCCAUGAAGAUCAAUUAAUUAAAUGAAACUUAUUUGACCCACUUGAAUUAGCCAAAUUCGUGGAACACAUGAAGAAGUUCAUAUACUUAAAGUCUUGGUGGUCUAAUGAAACACUCUAGUAAAACUAGAGUUACAGGGGUAAUUAUUGUAAAUCCUAAGGGAUAAAGAUGUAUGAGUUUAAAUCUCUUAGGACUCUCAUCUUGUAGAUAAGCACUAAUCUCAAUCGUCGAUGUAAUUUAAUCUGUAUUGCUGGAUCUGGGGAAGCUCAACUAUAAAUAGAGGUUUUUCCCCUCAUUUGUAAUCACUUCAUCCCUUGUACAAUAUUCUUGAGCUAAAGAAUAUUUUUUAGAGCAUUUACUCAAACGCUUGGUGUGCUAUUAUUUUCUCAUUGCUUUUUUGUUCGACUCAAGUCCCUUCGCCUUUUCAAGUUGCUUUCGCUUUAUUUCGGUGCCUUAGAGAAUUUCUGGAAGAAUUUUCACUUUUUCAAGAGUAAGGCUGACUUAGAUAGAUUUGAACAAAAAAAUCGCCUAAGGCGACGUAGUUUGCCAAACUAAAGUUUUAGUCUCGUGACAAAAUAAAGUAGUUGAAAAAUAAAAAAGAAAACUUAAGUUUCCUUGUUUUUUUCCCUUGCUUCAUUUUGUUGUCUUUUAGACAAGAUUUUAAUCAUAUGCUAGAAAAUUCAAAAUUUUCUAGUUUUCAAUAUAAAAAAAAUAUCAUAGCUCCUUGGUAAUUAUGUACUUUCUAAUAGAGGUUUAUUCAAAAUACACACACCAGGUAUUUUGUCACGAACCAUCUUGGCUAAAGCAUUUGCAACCUUGUUUACUUCCCUAGGAAUAUGUUGAAUGUGCCAAUGAUGCACUUGUAUCAAGAGCUGUUGAAUUCUCCUAAUCAAAGUUUGCAACAAAUCUUCAAACUCAUGGCCACAUAACUUACAGGAACUAUCACUACCCAUACCCCUUCUUACAUUUUCCACAUUCGUGAGUAAUCGUUGCUUAAAAACCAACCAAAUGAAGGUCCGAACUCGUUGUGGUCCUUGAAACUUCCAAAGGAGUUUCCAAACGGCCUCUUUCAAAUUCCAUGUAUCCUCUCUUAGUUUUCCAUAUACGGUUUUCAAAGAGAAAUAACCUGUUGCAAAACACCCCUAAGUGAUUCUAUCAGGUCUUGCAGUAAGGUGUGGUGGUGGUACUCUUACAAUAUUUGCAAUAAUGUCAUCAAAACAAUAAAGACAAAAGAAUCCAAGGUUCCAAUAACCAUCAUCUGCGACCAUCCCGCUGAGGGGACAAUUCAUUUCCAGAUUCGUAGCAGAAGUGAUAUUUUUCCAAAGCCCAAAUCUUUGGGAUCCAAGGAUCCUUCCAACAAUUAAUAUCUUUCCAUUCUCGAUUGACCACAGCAAGUUUUCACGUAUUAAGGGCCAUACCUUGUCAAGAGCACACCAAAGAAAAGAGACUUGCCCUCUCGAAAGGGACUCUAGCAAACUAUCUUUCACAUUAUACUUCGAUCUAAGAACAUGAACCCAUAGAGCAUUAAAGUUUGUCACAAUUUUAUAACUAAUCUUCAUCAUGAAUGAAGUGUUGCGAUCUCUCAAGAAUCUCAACCCAAGUUCACCAUGCACUUUAGGUUGACAAAUCGAAUCCCAAUUAACCAAAACUGAUUUUUGAGUCUCGUUAUAAGGCCCCAUAUGAAUUUCCUGACCAUCUGCUCAAUUUUGUCACACAAGCCCUUGGGAAUCAUCAUGGAUUGUGUUAAGUAUGACUCAUAUUUUCAGUCAAAUUUAAAAAAUAAUCUUCUAGUUAAACUCUGUUUAUUUGUUUCAAUCAAACACUGAUUAAUUUAGAUUAUAUUAUUAUUUGACAUAUGAAUUUAGCCUAUAAAUAGGCUCUUUUACAACCUUAGAAAUAAUACACCAUUUAGAGAUUAGAACUCAUAACACAUUUAGAGAAUUUUGUGUUUCCGUUUUGAGAGUUUUUUAUUUUCGAGUUUGGAGUUUAAUUUUAUCUUCAUCUUUUGUACUCUUCAUUCUUUUGCCAUUAUAAUAAAAUUAUUUUUGCCCGUGGUUUUUUAUCUUCUUUGGAGGGAUUUUUUCACGUUAAAUUUGUGUGUUCAAUUUCUCAAUUUAUUUCGCUAUUUUUGUUAAUUGUUGCUUAAUCAGGUCGAUCCCUAACAAGUGGUAUCAGAGCUAGUUCAAUUUUUAUAGAUCAGCCCAUUCAGAUAUGACAGUAACAAGAUUUGAAAUUGAGAAGUUCAACGGUGAAACAAAUUUCAAUCUGGUUUAAAAAAGGUUGUUACUAGGAAAAAGCCUGAGAAUCUAAAUAAAACAGAAUGGGAAGAGCUUGAAGAAAAGACCUUGUCUGCAAUCCAGUUGUGCCUCGUGAAUAUGAUAUUGCAGGAGGUAUUGAUGGAGAAGACCUCAUCCGCCUUGUGAAAAAGGUUAGAAACUCUUUAUGCGACUAAAUCUCUGGCUAAUCGUUUAGUGUUGAAAUAACGUAUAUUUACAUUUCGCAUGAACGGAUGUGAGCUCCUUAGAGAUUAUAUCAAUCAAUUUAUUACUCUUUUAAAUGAUUUAAAGAACGUUGAGGUUCAUAUUGAUGAUGAAGAUCAAGCUAUGCUAUUUUUAUGCUCUUUACCCCUUUUAUACAAGUCUUUCAGGGAAGACUCUGAUUUAUGGCAGAGACAAACUUUCGUUCGAAGAUGUGAAGGGCCAUUUGUUGAGUAGAGACAAACUUGACAAUGAGCUUCAUUUGGAUAGCAAAGCAGAUAGGCAAGCUUCUGUUUUGAUGGCAUCAAAGAAACGAGACAAAGGGUGUCACUAUUGUAAAAAGUUAGGUCACGUCAAAGCAGGUUGUUAUAAACUACAAAAUAAAAGAGCUGCUGAGAGUAACGAGGAAGAUGUAGCUGGUGCUAAUUUGAUCGAUGAAAGCGGUGAUGAUUUCUUAUUAGUGUCAAUGAGCGAUAACUCCAAGUUUAUGUCCGAGUGGAUCCUAGAUUCGGGAUGCUCUUUCCACAUGUGUCUCAAUAGAGAAUGGUUCUCCACAUAUAGUUCAGUUGAAGGUGGAUUUGUGCGCAUGGGAAACGAUUCAUCUAGUAAUGUAAUUGGUAUUGGUACUGUUAAAAUUAGGAUACACGAUGGGACGAUUAGGACACUCUCAGAUGUCAGGUAUGUACCUGAUUUACGAAAGAAUCUCAUCUCCUUGAGUAUUUUAGACUUGAAAGGAUGCAGAAUCAACAUCGAGUCAAGCGACAUUAAAGUAUCUCGUGGAGCUCUCGUUUGGUUAAAAGGUAAAAGAACUGGCAGUCUUUAUAUUCUAGAAGGUUCUACAGUGACCAGUGAAAUUGGACGUCCCUCGUCCAUUAUAGAGUCGAAGUCAACUCGUUUGGAGCGGAGGCAACUUGGUCAUAGAAGGGAAAAAUGUAUGACCGUUUCGUUGAGGAGAGGUUCUCUUUUGGAUGCAGGUUUUGAAAAGUUAGGGCACUGUGUUCGUGAAAAUCAGACCCAGGUUAGUUUUGAUUUGGCAGUGUACAAGUCAAAAGCUAAGUCUUCCAGUUUCUAAGCACAGAUUCAACUCAGUUAAUUCCCUGCAUAGUUCAAGAUAGGCUCGUGGCGGGCUUUGGCAAAGAUAGCGUUGUAGAAAUAUGAGUCAAAGUGGAGAUUUGUUAAGUAUGACUUCUAUUUUCAGUUAAAUUUGAAAAAUAAUCUUCUAGUUAAACUCUAUUUAUUUGUUUGAAUCAAACACUAAUUAGUUUAGAUUAUUUUAUUAUUAUUUGACAUAUGAAUUUAGCCUAUAAAUAGGCUCUUUUACAACCUUAGAAAUAACACCCCAUUUAGAGAUUAGAACUCAUAACAUAUUUAGAGAAUUUUGUGUUUACGUUUUGAGGGUUCUUUGUUUUCGGGUUUGGGGUUUAGUUUUAUCUCCAUCUUUUGUACUCUUUGUUCUUUUGCCAUUAUAGUAAAAUUAUCUUUGCUCGUGGUUUUUUAUCUUCUUUGGAAGGAUUUUUUCACGUUAAAUUUGUGUCUUCAAUUUCUCAAUUUAUUCCGCUAUUUUUGUUACUUGUUGUUUAAUCGGGUUGAUCCCUAACAGAUUGUAUGAAAUUACUUGGGAUUGCUGGAAGCACCGACUAAGCUAAGGUAACUCUUCCAGAUAGAGAAAGUUUUCGAGCAUCCCAACUUGAAAGCUUAUUACGCACCCUAUCAACAAUGAAACGAAGGGUAGUGUUGGUUACCUUGUCACGGAAUAGGGGCACUCUUAGAUAACAUCCCAAAUUUUGCACCUUAGAUCAUCAUCCACACCUAGCGAGAAGAAAAUAUUAGUUUUUUGUAGAUUAAUUUUAUGGCCCGAGAGGUUACAAAAGGUAUCAAGGACUCCUUUGAUGACCUUUGCCUGAGUCUUAUCCGCUUGACCAAACAAAAUCAAAUCAUCUACAAAAAAGAGAUGUGACAAGGUCCAUUACAUUGUAUCUAAGUUGUUUCUUUAGAAUCAGAAAUUUUGAGAUAGUCAAUCUUAUUUAAGAUUUCUAUUGUAAGAAUAAUUAUUGAUAAGAUUAAAAUUUGUGAAUCAAAUUGGGUCCAUUUGUGACUCCCCAUACCUAAAUUCAGAGAUCGGGUCGGAUGAAGGUGUUACAAUAUUAGUUUUAAUUUUUUUAGUUUUAUGAACAUACGAAUUUAUAUUUAAUUUUUUAAAUCAUUUUAAUGUAAUAUAUCCAAACUAAUGAAUGAAACAUUUAUGUCAUUAAAUAUUCUUAAAAAUUUUUAAUUGGAACACUUCAAUUUAAAAAAUAUAUAUUUUCAUAUAUUUUAAUUAAUACAUUCGAUCAGGUAAAAUAGUUAGUAUCAAUACAAAAAAAAAAGCAUAUGUGGAAAUAUUAAAUUUUAGGCUAAUUCUUUGAGUUUCAAAAUGCUUUCUUUUUUUAGUUAUAUUUAAAGUGAAACUUAACUUUAGAAUGAGCUAGUUUUCUAUCUCGUACGAUGCACAGAUUAGAUUAUAUGUAUCAAAUUUAAAAUUUUAUAUUAAUUAGUUAAAUAAAUUAUAACAUUUCAGGAAUGCUAUGAUUGAGAAAGUAAAAUAAAUAAUAUAAAUGUUUAAUUUUGGAAUUAAGAUAAUAUGUAUCAUGAUAGAUAUAAAUUAAGAACAAAAUAAGUUGAAUGUUUAAAAUAAAUUUAAAUAAUUUAUUGAUAUUCAUUAAAAUGAUCGAAAAUUUAGCAUUUUAAAAAAUGAAAUUAUGAUGUCAAUAUUUUAUAUAGUCAAUAUCUACUCUAAAUAGUUGUUUGAAAAUAUUGUUAUUAGUCUAAUUUUAGAAAAUAAAUAAUAAUUAAUUAACAUAUGCAAUAUCUUGAAAAUGUGUGUUUACUUUAGUUAAAAUAAUAUUGUAUCAUUUAUUACAAUACCAGCAAAACAAUAAUUGUAUAAUAUCAAAUCCAGAUCAUUCAUGGGGCAGUGAAUACCUUGAUCAUUAAGUCAACACAUGGGGUUAUUAAGUAAAUGUAGUAUAAUAAUAAAAUAGAAUUUCAAAAAAGGGAGCGCCUCAACUGUACGUGGGACAUAUUCACCUCUUGAUGGGUAGUCGUACGUCCUACGUACGGUUGAAGCACUUUCCUCCAUGAACUGUACACCGCUCUCUGUAGAGAGGGACAAGACCUUCCCAAGAAGAUUAUACAUUUUAUUGAGGGAUUGAAUCGACAUCUUUGAGAAUGACACUACGAAAACUUCUCUCGAAAAAAUAGAUCUUUAUAUUUUUGAGAGAAUGUUUGUAUUCAUUCAUACGUAGGGUGGCCUAUUUACAAAGACGGAUAGACAAGGCCUUUUGAAGGGAGCGGGUAAUUCGUUCACAACAGUGAACAACUUAUUGGCUAUAACCCUAUGAAAAGAUUGGAGGGUUGAAUGAAGGCAUGCCUUCUAAGAUGUGGGUCAUUCUCAAGUCAUUCCCAAGUAAUAGAAAAUAGAGAAUUGCCUUCUCAAGUGAUUCGCUAUGCUGACUCGUGUACAAAGCUAGAGAGGUAUAAUAAACUUAAUUUAAAAAAACUAUGAUCCACUUUAAAUAUAAUUAAAAAAGGAAGUAUUCUAUAAUUGAAAGAAUUGAGUUCAAUUUUUAGAAUUAAAUUUUAUUAAUUAAUAAAUACAAUAAAAUAAAUAUUAUUUUAACUUACAUUUUUUAAAAGAAAGCGAAUAUAUUAUUUCCCCUCAUUUUAGUUAAGAAUAAAAUAAGAGUGUAAUCUUUAGUAAAAAUAGAAUUUUCUUGUACAUUUAUUUCAUUUUUAAUAAUUUAAAAUAUUAAAAUAGUAAAAUAUGUAAAUUUAUAUUAUUAUAAUUAAAUUUAAAUAAAAAUAUUUUAAAAAUUAUUUAAAUGAAAUUUAGUUCAGGCGAACAAAAAAUUUAAUUAAUACAUAUUUAAUAUAUUUUCACUUUUAAUUUUUUUUAUAUUUACUUUAAUUAAGUCAAGCAAAUUUAUUAAUGAAUGAAAUGAAUAUAACAUCACAAUUGUUUAUUUAAAUUAUAAUUUCUUUAUCUAUUUCACGGUGCAAUAUUACUUUUGAAUUUUUUUUUUCCACUUUUAUGAACAUAUAAUUCUAUAUUUAAAUUUUAAGUAAUUUCAAUAUAAUAUAUCCAAAUUAAUGAAUGAAAAAUUUAUGUUAUUAAAUAUUUUUUAUAAAAUUUUAUGAAAAAUGAGGUAAAAAAGCUAGUAUCAAUACGAAAAGAAAAAAAAGUGAAAGCAUAUAUGGAAAUAUUAAGUUUUAGGUUAGUUGUUUGAGUUUCCAAAUGCUUUCCUUUUUCGUUAUAUUUUAAGUGAGACUCGAUUUUCGAAUUAAACUAGUUUUUUAUCCCAUGCGAUGCACGGAUUAGAUUGUAUGUAUCAAAUUUGAAAUUUAAAAUUUAUUAGUUAAAAAUUUUAUAAUUUUUCAGUAAUAUUAUGAUUGCGAAAGUAAAAUAAAUAAUAUAAAUGUUUAAUUUUUAAUUUUUAAUAUUAAGAUGGUAUAUAUUAUAAUAGAUAUAAAUUAAGAAAAAAUAAGUUGAUUAAAAUAAAUUUAAAUUAAUUAUUGAUAUUCAUUAAAAUAUCGGAAAUCUAGAAUUCUAAAAAAUGAACUUAUGAUGUCACUGCUUUAUAUAUUCAAUAUCUCACUACAACAUAACAACAUUAAUAUAAUACUUUUAAGCUGGCACUUUUUUAAAUGUUGGGAUAGACUUGUCGACAUACGCUUUGGCUAACUCUUUGUAUAAGGGUUAGGAUAUGCAUGCCUAAGGCAACGUUUAAAUAAAAGUCAACUUUACCCGACACAAUACUGACUUUUGUUAUACCUUUCCCAAAUAUAUAAAAAUGUCGCCAUAUGAAAAUCCUAAGACCACUCCUUUUGAAGUAUGUCGACCUUUUUUGUGUUGGUUAAAUUUAUACCUUUAAUAGGUGUUGGUUGUUCAAAGCAUUAGGCCAUAUGAAAAGCCCUUAAAUUUGUACCAACCUUAUAGAGAGCAUCAGCCACUACAUUAAGAAAUAUCCCAAAUAUGUUCUUCCAUGCAUACAUAUCAACUUUCCCACAAUGUAUCAAACGAUUCAUAAGAAAAUUACAUGAGAAUACGUGUGCAAGUGUAACAAUUGCUUGCCUUUGAGUUCGAAACAAGAUAUUAAUAACUUUACCAAACAUUAAUGUAUGCCUACACAAUAAAGUGAAAAGGAUUAUUCUCCGGAGUUUUUAUACAUAGGAAGGAUUAGGUAAUCUUAAACAAGAACUGAUGCAAACUAAUUAUAACGGUGAUUUGGGGCUGAAAUACUUGCCUAUCACUCUCGAAUCUAAUAUCUUCAAGGCUUCCUCAGAUUUAAUGCAACUAGGUUUUUUGUAUUGGCUCAAUGAAGUUCCUUUGGACACAUAGUAAUCCAUUAGUGCCUCAAAACUUCCUUGCUUUACCACCCUAAUCUCCAAAGCUGCAAUUAUGUUCCUUUUCCUAUAGAUUUUAUAUGUAUAAUGCAAUG
rnacentral:lncRNA from 1 species